rnacentral:lncRNA from 1 species
AGGAGCUGUGGAGACAUGGUUGGACUUCAUUACAUGUUGCUGCCACAAUCAAGAGAUGGAAGAGUCCAGAUGGCGGCAGUUUUGAUGCUUACUUGUGAAAAUGGUGUGAUAUGUUUGAUGAUAAUACUUUCUAGUAUGUGUUUUCUUGACCUGUCAGUCUUCUGAUGCGUAGACACAGAGCAGAACUUCUAUGGCACGGAAUGCAAGAGAAGAACAGACUUGUUGUGGAUGCUAAAUUCUGUGCUUGUUUGUUUUGCUGUCCGUCUCAUUCUGUCAUUCGCCUUAAAACUUUUGCCCAUAAGCACUCUGGGCGGUUGGCCUUUUAGAAAUUUUAUUAUAUAAUUGGGGCCAUCCGAUCUCUCUUUCCCCUAUCAACCGUGCGAGAAUCGCUGGCCGCUGCCUCGGUAGACUUACGCCUUCCACGCCAGCGACGUUGACGUACGGACUCGAGGAGAAGCACAACGGCCACCCUUCCCGGCCAUGUUCGUCGUGAUCGCUGAUGGCCGCUGUCUGACAUGCAAACAACGUUGCACAUCUCUGAGUCUGGCUGCUGCCACUUCGAACAUCCACAGCUGGAUCUCUCAAACCAUCUUUCAUAUGCUUGCGGACGCGCCCCGAUCAGUGGCCGGAUAGGAGAGAAGGAAAAAAAUGACCCAACUAGACCCCCCAUAUCUUUCAUCUUUCAUAUGCUUGCGGACGCGCCCUGAUCAAUGACCGAAUAGGAGAGAGAGGGAAAAAAGUAACCCAACUGGACCCCUCAUAUCUUUCCUAUAUGUCUGGUCUGUCCGCGAACCCGUGUAUCUAUCUCAAAUAUGGGGGGAUAUGAGGGCUCGCGGACAAGCCGGGGCGCGCCCGAUCAAUCCGUCACAUAAGACGCGGCCUCACCCUCGACCACCUUUUCUCUUCCUUUAAUCAUUCUUUUCUUUCUCCAUCUUUAUCUACCUCAAUCAUGGGCAAGUGACCGGACAGAUGAGGAAGAAAAUGAGGACUGCGCGGAUGAAUAAAUAGGGGGAGAACGUUCAUCAUCCGACUGAUCUUUCUCUCUCAUAAGCCUCCUUCUCCACGCGCCACGUACCCACGUCAGGCUGCCCACCGCUUCGCCCCAGCCUUAUCCUAUCUCUAACGAAGCUCCUCCACUCAUUUCUUCAUUUUUUUCUCCCUCUUACAACUCAUCGCCAGAGGAGAUUAGCCAUGGUGAGCACCACCACCAGCAGCUAGAAAAUCAGAAGAGUUUGACGCCGGCCGUAGGCACUAGCGUCGGAGCUCCUCCCUUGCAUUGCUGCAGGCGGCAUAGCUGCAAAGCAGCGUCCAUGGAGCGAAGCCAUGGCGAGCACCACCACAGCAGCGGGGGAACUGGGAGGUGCUGCUGGCAAUCGAAACGGCGCUCGUCGACGAACGCCGGUGCUGCUUUCAUCCAUGGCCGCCGAGAUGGGACACAGCAACUUGUCCACGGCCGUUGCGCUACGUUGCGCUAGGUUGCAAUCUUGUCUGCAUUGCGAUGCAAUCUGGUGUGCCGAUGGAGCGCUCGGCGUCGGCGGCGGAGCUGCAAUGGAGCGCUCGGAGCCGGCGGCGGAGCUGCAAUGGAAGUGCAAGUCGCCGGCGGCGGAGCUGCAAUGGAGCGCUCGGAGCCGGUGGCGGAGCUGCAAGUCGCCGGCUAUGGAGUUGCAAUGGAGCGCUCGUCGGCGGCUCCCCCGUACUGCAUCGCAGCGCUUGCCGACGGCUCAAUGUAGCAUCAUCGGUGGCUCAAUGCAGCGUCGUCCGUGGCUGAUGCAGCUUUGCCGGCAACUCUUGGGGGAGCCCGUGUCGCAAGUCGCAACUGCACGCUUGGAGUCUUCGUUGUUGCCACGACCGGCGACAGUUACGCGUUUGCAAGGCGAGGAACGGCUGGGGCAAGCUUGGUGCUGCAAGCGAGCGGCUGCGAGCUAGUUCAGGGCUGCGACCCAGUGUGUGGGGAUUUUUGGCAAGGCUGCGACACAAGGAAGACGAGGCCACGCUCGGCGUCGUAUUGCGUGAGAGCGACACGGUCAAGUACAAGUUGACUAAUCGUACGUCUGUGAGAGCUUUGAUCGGACGGCUGGGACCCGAUUGAUUUCUCAUGAAAUCAGUCGAAUGAUUUUUAGCAGCCGUCAUAAAUAGGGGUUUAAAAUAAACACGCCCGGUCACUGACCGGGCACGGCCGCAGACAUUUGAGGGAUCGAAUUAGAGGUACGUGGCUGAAGAUGCUCUUGCACCUCCAUGCAUGCAGCCCAAAAUGGUACACGGCCGCAUGAAGCACAAUUGUGCUUAAGUGUUUUUUUCUUCAAAAGUGAAAUACGGUAGUGCUUCGGUUUGGAGCGCAAUUGUGUUUUUGUGCUUUUCACAAAAGUGAAGCACAAAUGUGCUUUCGUGUGAAAGCAUAACUGCUUUUCCCGGUAAGUGAAUAACAAAUGUGCUUCCCCGUGAAACAUACUUGUGCUUUUAUGGUUAUUUUCUUUUUCUUUUUACGGUUACCGUUUUUUCAGUAUUUCGUCUUUUGUCUCUAUUUUUUGUUUGGUUUUUGGGAUUGGGCCAAAAAAAUGUUCGUCGAAACCUGUCAAAGUUCGAGGAUCUCAACGUGAGAAAUGCAACGGUAAAACGAUUCAUGAUUUGAACGGAUGGUUCAAGAGAUAAAUUAUUUUGAUGAAACAACUCUACAAAGAAAAGCACAAACAAAUCCACAUGCCUCCCGUGUAUGUGAAGAAAUCUCACCAAAAAAUUCAUAGGUUGUGACAAGAAUCGCACAUAGAUUACGCCACUUGUCACCACAAGAGAAGAUGGGACUGUCCCUUGCAAAAAGUACCCCUUAAGGUUGUAGAGCACAGGGACGAUGCCAUCAUAAGGGCAUGUAUGAUCGACCGCCUCGAGUAGUCGCGUAAUGUGAUCCCCAAGUGGCCAAGUCCAACCAUGAUCCGUUUUGGAGUAGACAUGUCUACCUGGAUAUGGAACAAGAAAACUGGGAACCUCCUAUAUGACGCAUUUUGCCUCGUAUAGGAGCUCGACGCAGACGGGCGACGCUCGACUUGGCCAGCCCACCGACACGAAAGCCACUUGUGUUUCCUAGUGCGCAACCUAAGAAAUCCUAGAAAACAAUAGAGCACGUGAGGAUUGGAUCCCACGAUCUCGCUCACACCAUACUCGCGACUGCGACCAGUUAGCCACUCCACCACACAGUCGCUGCUGAACAUGAAGCGCGAAACUCUAUAGCACACACAUCAGGGUUGAUAUAUGGAAAACAUUUUAGAAACAUUUCUUGAAAAUUGUGAACAAUUUUUAAAUGCCGCAAAUAUUUUUUGAUAUUCCAAAUUUGUUUUCUGAAAAAAUGUGAACAACUUUUGUAAUAUAGAAUUAGAAAACACGGACAUUUUUUGCACAACCCAAACAGUUUAAUGAAGUUGUGAACAAAUUUUGAAAAAAAGAACAUUUUUUGAAUUUCCUGAUUUUUUUUGAAAACACAAACAUAGAAAAAUUCGAAAAUGAGAACAUUUUUGAAAUACCUGAUUUUUUAAAUUGCGAUUUUAAUAAAAGAGAACAUUUUUUGAAACACGGACAUUUUUCGAAAUUGUGAACAAAAUAUGAAAAUAAAAACAUUUUUUGAAAUUCUUGAAAAUUUGUUGAAAUUGGCAACAAAUUUUAAAAAUGAGAAAAUAUUUUGAAAUUCCAAAUAAUUAUUACAAAUUUUCAAACAAAAGAAACAUUUAAAAGGAAAUAGAAAAUAGGAAAUAAAAAAGAAAUAAAAAAGAAAAUGAGAGAGAAGCAGAACAAGAAAAAAAGAAAAAGAAAAUGAGAGAGAAGGUUCUAGAAGGUUCCCAAAACCGAUAAAAACCGCUAGGAACCCUCUAGAAGAUUCCCAAAACUAUAACGUUGUACAUAUUACAGAUUGGCUGGCCCAAUCGCUCGCUCGGACGCUUCCUAUGUGCGAUUGGUCGGUAGUUUGAUGCAAAAUGCAUUAAACAUGGAUUUCCGGAAAACUUAUCGUGGUCUAGACUUAAGUAACAAAAAAGGGUAGAAGUAGCCCAGUUGUAGCCCAAAUUUGAUAUCUAUAAUUGUCUGAGUGCCGACCGUGUAGGUAAUCCCUAUUUUGCGCUUCAGGCGCCAGUUAUAGGCCAUUUUGCUUUUUUUUGAGGUAAACAGCUAAGUUUUAUUCAUCAAUCCAUAUGUCUACAAGUACUCCCUCCGUUCCUUUUAUGUAAGGUGUAUUAUUUCCGGCACGGUGACCAAGACACAGAAAUAUAUGCAUGUUAGGACGAAAUUACCCUUGACAAAUUUAUUUGUUAGUGCUAAGUAAAUCAGUUAGUCAAGGAAAUUAAAGUAUGAGAUACAUGCAAUUGACAGAGAGAUACUUUCCUUCUUUUGUUACAAGGAGAGAUACAGACAAUCAGGAGAGAGAUACUUUCCCUUUUUCUGGAGGGCUAACAAGAGAAUUAUGUGGAAUUAGAAAAAAUGCACCUUACAUUCUACAAUUUUAUCAAAAAACAAAUACACCUUAUAUAAAGAAACGGAGGGAGUAUUACAUAAGGAUCAUGUGGUUGCCCCAACCAAAUGUGGCGGCCUUGAUCCAACUUAAGAGCAUGCGUAGCUAGUUUAUGUGGCUCAACAUUUGAGCUCCUAGAUUAAAAUUUAAAAACACAAGAAAUGAAGAGAUAUUUCCACUCCAAAAUCUCCUUGACUACUCCACCAUAGUUUCCACCCUACACUUCCUUGAUAUGCUUAACAACUGUUUCGCAAUCCGACACGAUCACUAAGUUUGUAGCCCAAGAUCUUCUGCUAGUUAUAGUCCCUCCCGGCAUGCUAUAGCUCAAGACUGGCUGGGUCCGUCAGGCCCCGUAUGACAAAAACAAAAGAACCCAAAUAUGCACCUGAGCCAUUUCUACACACCGCGGUCGCUGUCCCGACACCACGAGAGACGGCGGCAUCAACAUUGAUCUUCAAAUGACCCUGAACAGCCGGAAUCCAUCUCCUUGGUGCUGCUACUGCUGUAUUACAUACCCAGUUCCCACUAGAGGGGUGAAUCUCUCCCAGCUCCAUAAUGAAGUGGGUAAUGAACAUAUAAGUGGACAGAGGGCUCUGAUCAAUUCCCUCAUGAAUCAGUCUGUGCCGCGCCCACCAUAUAGGCCAGGUAGUGACUGUUAACUUAAUAAAUAUCUCAUGCGAGAGCUGCUCAAACAGAGUAAACAACUAGUCCUCGCGUUCUGUUCAUUAUUUUCCAUCAACUCUUCGAUCAGCUCCUUGUCAACUAAUGACCACACACAACGAGCAGCCGUACAAUCCAGUAGGUUGUGCCUCCAAGAGUCCAGCAUGCCACAAAUAGCGCAAGUACAUGUUGCCGACAUAUUCUGGUGCAUUCUCAUGUCUUCCGUCGGUAUGGAAUGAUGCACUAGUCUCCAUAAAAAUACUCAGAGUUUCGUCUCCAUCAAAAUACUCAGAGUUUCGUUGGAACGUAAGUUUUCCAUAGUUUGACCCAACUCUUAUCCUCUUCCUUCCUACUCUAGGGCCCCGGGCGCUGUUCUAACAAGUCUUCACGCCGGCACUUUGUUUCAACUAUCAUACGAUAAGCAGACCUAAUAGAAAACUUCCCAGAUUUUUCAUGCAUCCAUCACCAGUAAUCAUCCACAACUCAAGCAAAUAGGGAUUUGCAGUAUCUCAGCCGCAUCACAAGGCAGAAAAACAUGGUUUACGAGCUCCAUAUUUCAUCGGGCGUUCACUGUAUCAAUUAAUUUAGAGACAAGUUGCGGUGGAUCCAGCACUCUAGACACCAUCGGCCUCAUGAACUCCGGUCUUGGGAUCCAGUCAGUGUUCCUGAUUUUCAUGGAGGAACCAUCACCCAGUGGCGGAGCUUGGGACACAUCUUAGGAGGGGCAAAUGGGCUGGGGGGAGGGGGGGCAACCAACAUCUGGUUUAGGCUAGAUUUCUAUGAAUCUGUGGGCAGUUUACUCAUGAUAAUAUGAACAAAUCUCCUGGGCAGGGGGGGCGAUGGCCCAGGUUGAUCUUCACUAAGCUCCGCCACUGCCAUCACCUAUGCAUCUAACCAAGCCCUAUUUCAUGAUAUCCCUACCCUCCAAUAUUGAUCUCCAAACCUGGGAAGGGUGAUUUGAUUUCCCAAGUUGGCCUCAAGGAUGGAGCAUGAGGGAAAAAUACACAAUCUUCAGUAUGCGAGCACCGAGAAUGUUGAGGGAAACUAGAAUCCUCCAAGAUUGUUGACCAAGUUGAACAAUUCAAAAUCCCUGAAACCAAGGCCACCCAUGUACCUUGGCAUAGUCAUCUUGUCCCAUGAAACCCAAUAGGGCUUUCUCUUCCCCUGUUUGCUUCCCCACCAAAAGGCCCUAAUAGCUGAAGUUUAUUUUUCACACAACCCACGUGGGAUCUUGAAACACGACAUCGAGAAGACAAGAAUAGCUUGUGCCACUGAUUUGAUUAAAACAUCUUUACCUGCUGCUGAAAGUGUUUUCUCCAUCCACCCUCUAAUCUGUUCCACAGCCGGUCAGCAGAUACUUGAAGGCACCAUUUUUGGAUGAUCCUACAUCCCCAAAUAUUUCUCACUUAGUUGCUCAUUGGGAAAUUGUAAAAUAAUCUUCACCUAUGCUCUUACCACUUUUGGACACCCUUUACUAAAGAAAAUCGAUGAUUUGUCUUUAUUUACUCUCUGUCCAGAUGCUCUAGCAUAGGCAAAAUGGACUCCGCCGACGAGUUCUUUUUCCGUAAAUUCCUUUGCGACUCCGACGAUUCAUCGUCCGAUGAUGAUGAGGAGAUCUUGGUGUUGGGGAACGUUGCAUGAAAAACAAAAAAUUUCUAUGCACACACAAGAUCUAUCCAUGGAGAUGUAUAGCUACGAGAGGGGAGAGUAUCUUCAUACCCUUGAAGAUCGCUAAGCGGAAGCAUUUAUCAACGCGGUUGAUGUAGUCGUAUACCUUCACGAUUCGUCCUGAUCAAGUACUGAAUGUACGGCACCUCCGUAUUCAGCACAUGUUCAGCUCGAUAAUGUCCUCGCCUUCUUGAUCCAGCAAGAGGGGCGAAGUAGUAGAUGAGUUCCGGCAGCAUGACGGCGUGGUGAUGGUGUUGGUGAAGAACAAUCCCGCAGGGCUUUGCCAAGCACAACGGAAACUAGACAGAGGAUAAACUAGAGUGACGGGGUUGCCAGCACACGGCUUAGUGAAUUUCGAUGUGUCCCGUGUGCUAGCCCCGCCUCUCUAUUUAUAUGUUGAGCCCUUGGUUAAAACUUGGAGUAAAAGCCUUCUCGAAGUCGGUUUUGCCCGAUAGGCAAGAGUCCUUCUCGGACUCGAGGACCAGACGCCACAGUCCUUGGCCUCUGGCCCAGACGCCAUGGGCCUCGACAUCUUGCCCAGGGCCAGACGCCAGGGUCUCCGGGAUUUGGUCUCUGACCUCCGCAAAACUUCCUUUUGCACCGACCUAAAGCCCCCUGGGCCUUACCCGUUGGCCUAACCAUAUCAUCAUAUAUAUCAAUCUUUACCUCCGGACCAUUCCGGAGCUCCUCGUCAUUUCUGUGAUCUCAUCCGGGACUCCGAACAACAUCCGGUCCACAACAUACAUAACUCAUAUAAUAUUAUAUCAUCAACGAACGUUAAGUGUGCAGACCCUAUGGGUUCGAGAAUGAUGUAGACAUGACCGAGACGCUUCUCUAGUCAAUAACCAAUAGUGGGACCUGGUGGAUGACCAUAUUGGUUCCUACGGGUUCGGUACUAGAUCGGUUGGAUCGUGAAGACGUUCGACUACAUCAACCACGUUAACCUAACGCUUCCGCUUUUGGUCUACGAGGGUACGUGGACACACUCUCCCCUCUCGUUGCUAUGCAUCUCCUAGAUAGAUCUUGCGUGAGCGCAGAUUUUUUUUUUGAAAUUGCAUGCUACGUUCCCCAACAAUUUGUGCGCUUUACCAAGACCAAUGUCGUGAAACACACCAUGGUAUAUUUUGUAUCUUUUCUCUUUUUUCCUUCAUAGCACUAUAUGGCAAGAUGUCUAACAUUGUGUGCUCUAUUUUGUUUCUAAUCACGGGGAUCAUAGAAAUUUUCUAUGCGACGUGGUUUAUUUGCAAGCUUUAGAUGUCUUGAGCAAGAAUCUAUUAGAUUAAGAUGGUUGCAAAACGGAAUUAAAAAGUAUAUGUGUGAAGCAAUUAUUGUUGAACUAAUAAAAAUACAUAUGCCCAUGUUCCAACACAUGGGUAAUUAACUAGUCUACUAUAGACAAACAUACAUUUAGCAAUCAACACCUUUCUUCUACCAGAUAUGUGUCAACACAUGCCAUUGCCUCCGGGAUUACCUCCAUGCCGCCGCCUUGGUUACCUUCCCCUCUCCAUUCCAACAGCCUUGUCGGUGAUUAGAUAAGUGGGGCAAUGUCCCUUCGUAAUUCUUAGUUAUAGUGAUUCCUUAUAUUUUUACCUUAGGUUUUGGUUUCACCACGGCAUCGAUGAGGUGGCGAUCACAUGGAUGGUUGGAAGAAGGUCUCUUUGGCAUGUCUCUACCUUGAAGACAUAUGAUCUGAUGCUUAUGAAGGGCCAGUGAGGAUAGGUGAUGCGAGAUAUCUUGGCUCCCUUUGGGUCUGGCACUUGAUGUGUGGAUAAAAGAGAGUGGUUGGCUAGCUUUUGGUGCAGUGACUUUGACUUCUUCUUUCAGUUCUAUCUAUGGCAAUCUGAUUUCUUCCACCCUGUAGAUUGGUGGAGUAGGAUUGAAUGUCUGCGCUGUUCAAUGGGUGACUAUUGCAUUCAACGGUUCAAGAAUGCACUAGAUGAUGCUCCUUCAACGGUUACUAUAUUUCUUUGCUAUCAAUGGGUGACACUUGCAUUCUUGAAAGGCUUAUGUGAUGAGGGUGUCCGCAACUCUUCCUUUUCCGUACAAUCUUCUCAGUGCAUUCUUCAAGCUCAAGUAUAUGACAAACUGUCGAAGGAAGAUGUCAAGAAAGGCAUUGAAUAUGAUAUUAUUUUUAGAGGUCGUUUUAUGCCACGUUACCCCUUUUGUACUAACUAUUGUAUUCACUAAUAAAUAUUAUCUGUAAGAUGCCCUUGGGUAUCAUCUCUAAAAAAAUAUAGACACUUCUAUCAAGAUAUUUGUUGGAUACUUCUCUAUAGUUCAAACACUUUGUCAUUAUGUUGCAGGACACAAAAUGCAGUAGGACGUAUACAUGUCUUAAGCCUUAUAUUUACUAUUUAUUAACCAGGAUAUGUUCUUUCUGAUUGUUCAUCCCCACCUCUCACGUAUAUUUUACUGCUAAGGAUAUUCUAAAAAAUGACAAACUAACUUGAAUUCAAGAUAACUAAUCUACAAUAAACAAAACUUAACCACGCCUGUCAAAUCUCUAAAAAAUUAUAAUAAAUAUAUAGAGGCCUGUAAUUUCAUAUUUAUCUUUAGUUUUCUGCAUGCCUAGAAAGAGCCAAUCUAAAAUAUUUUCCUAAAUGCAAAUUUAUCAAGAUGAGAACAAUUCAUGUUAUUUCUAUUGUAAAAUGCAAUUCAGAAUCAGACUAAACGGUUGGAAAUAUUAAACUUAUGUGGUUAAUUUUGUUAGGUGUAAUAAAAAACUGUAUUUACAAAAUAAUCAUAAAACUUCUUCCUGGAAAUACCAAGGGUUCAUCAGUCCAAUCAGACCAGUUUAUGUAUUCAAUGUAAGACCCACCAUGAGAUGCAAGUCUGUCUCUUCAAGCUCUUAGCUGAUGCAUAAGAAAUCGGGGCAGCAAAAAAGUUCUGUCGAAAGGUUUGAUGAUUGGGCAGGAACAAAUUCGUUUGAAUCAACGAGCUACUGGUUAUGGGCAGCAAGUUAGUAUUAUUCUUGCUCAAUAUAAUGCAUGCAUUUUCAUUUUUUGUGUAGGUUGCUAUUUGUGAUUCACCUCAAUGUACUUGGUUUUUUGAUAGUUCAUUUCUCAUACGACAUGAACUUCUGGUUGUUCUUACUGAAAGUGUAAUUCAAUAUGACCUAAGUUAUACAAUAUGAUUUUUUUCUUCAAUUGAAAAUAAUAAUUUCCGGAUUUUACAUUCUUGCAAGGGUAGAAGAGGUUGCAGACAAACCAAUUUAUAUGUGGACACUUCAUAUUGUCAGUGGGCAUACUCUUGGUCAUUUAUGUGCUGCAAUGGUGCCUCUUUUUUUUAUUCUCAUGUUAGCGAAAAGGACAAGGCCAAUUUAACCAGAAAGGUAUGAACUGAUAAUUCCAUAGACUCAUGUGUAAAGUGGAAUUUGAUUCAACCGUGCAUGAUUUUUCUUACCAAACUUAAUGUGGUGAGUACCAGUCCAACAAAUACUUUCCUCGUUCCUUUCCAAAUAUUUGUGUUUCUUCAUCCAGUCUAGUUCUGCUAACAAUUUCACCACAUUAAGGUUGGAUUUGCUCAUGUGACAUGGUUGUUUGUUUGGUUGUGUGGUGAAGGGCAUGUGCUUGGAGAUGGGGAAGUGUCUCAUCCAUGAUCCACACAAUAUAUUUGAUGCAUUUAUUGGAUACAUUUAUUUAACAAUCAUUGAAAAAAUUGCGAACGCCACUGCGUUGCAUCAUUAUGCCAUACAUUAUUUUAUUGCAUUCAUCUGCUUAUGCAUUUUGGCCACCACUAGAGUUUCCAUUGUUUUAUAAGUAUAUUGUAAUUUUUAUGCUGACCAAUAUGUCCAAAUGCUCUUAUAUAUCAACUACUCAACCAUAUGCAGUGCGUGUUUAUGUCUUGUAGGGGUAAAAUCAACAACAAAAACAACAACAACAACGACGACGAUAACAAAGCCUUUAGUCCCAAACAAGUUGGGGUAGGCUAUGCUGAAACCCAUAACAUCUCACAACGAACUCAUGGAUCUGGCACAUGGAUAGCUAGCUUUUACGCACCUCUGUUCAUGGUUAGUUCUUUGGUGAUACUCCAGUCAUUCAGAUCUCACUUUACGGACUCCUCCUAUGUCAAGUUUGGUCUACACCGACCUCUCUUGACAUUAUACUCCUUAAUGACCCUCUCUUUGGAUGGUUGAGCUACCCCCGGGCUUCCACCACUUCGUUCUAGUGACUUUGGCACGCUUAUCCUGUUGGGACAUGAAUCCGAAAGAGAAAGUCAUUCACCACAAGCUUAUGCUGAGGGACAACACUCUCUCCAGGUAUCACCUUACAAUCAAGACAAGCACGCCAGUCUUCUCUUCUCAAGAGGAUGAAAUCAAUCUCACUAGAGUGUUGACCACUACUAAGAGUCACUAGAUGUGAUUCGUGUUAAAGUGGAUGUUAGCUAUGAUCAUCGUAGGCUAGAGGAAAUCUUAAGACAUCUUCUCCUUCUUGAUUCCUGAUGCGAUAGCCAAAGCCCCGAUGCAUCGCUUCAAAACCUAUGUUAGAUGUAUCCACGUGGCCAUUGAGGUAUCCUCCUAUGAAGAGCUUCUUGCCAAUAGGUACUCCUAACCAUGUUCUCCAUGCCUUCCUAGAACUCCUUGGUGUUCUCAUUGUGGCCUACUUGCGGGGCAUACACGUUGAUAACAUUUAGAACUAAGUCCCCAGCUUGACCAGGACAAUCUGGUCCCCACGCCUCCUGACGUCUACCACUCCACACUUGAGGCUCUUGUUGAUCAAGAUGUCUAUUCCAUUCCUGUUUGUAGUUGUCCCCGUGUACCAUAGCUUGAAGCCGGUAUCUCCACCUCCUUUGCUUUCUAUCCUCUCCAUUUGGUUUCUUGGACUCAAAAUGAUAUCAACACCUCUCCUCACCGCUGUAUGAACUAGCCCCUGAAGUUUACCUGUCAGGGUUCCUAUUUUCCAGCUACCUAAACGAGUCCUCCUAGGCUCGGCUAGCUUCCUUAUUCUUCACAGUCGUCGAGUCAAAUGCGAAGACCCUUCAUUUUUCAUUACACGCGGGCGUCGAUGUAGCGCACCACUAAGGAUGCGAUGUGACGACCUGAUCCUUGCUCACUUGUCACCGUAUCCAGAUCAAGAUACUACGCGCCACCUGGUGGGUGACGGCCCGGCCCUUGCCCAUUUGACACAACACCAGGGUUCUGAUAUGGCGCAUCGCUGAGAGGGUUACGCCCCAAAGAUUUUAUUCUAGGUUCAUCUCCAUUAAGAGUGGCUGAGUUCUUGAUGUUGGCUCGCCAAGCCUAUCACAACUCUCGUUUACUCGGGCUUGGGACCGGCUAUGUUGAGACAACAUAGGCAGAGUUGUCUUGUAGGGUACACACAAAGAGUAUAAUUUUGAUUACAUGAUCUGACAAUUUCCCUCGUUUCAGACACAUGAUUCUAGUGCAUCAUCAAUUAAUGCUUGCUUUCAUGGUCUGCUUAUUGGUGCCCAAGAUGAUCUGCCUAUGGAUGCCCAAGUUACAAGUAUGAUAAUCUUCUGAUCCAUGUCCAAGCAAAUAAGAGUCACUCCACAUAUUGACCAUGUUGCUGCUUUGUCUAGAGGCCUGACACUACAUAAUUACUAACCUCCCUUGACAAUUGACUCAUUCCAUACCAUACUAUGUGCAUUAUGUUAUUAUGGAGGUAAUUAUACAAUGAUAACUUUACUACCAUGUCAUGCUUUCUCCACAAUUUUAGAAAGUAAAAUCUGUCUCUAGCAUGCAUGUGAUUCUUGCAUUGAUAUUUAUUUAUUUGGAUAACCUAAUUAACUUCUUCCACACUCGUGAAAAUUAGAUAAGUUCUUUUUCAUGUGUGACUUAUUGACUGUGUUGUUGCUCUAAAUCAGGUUAGUGCCAAAAUGUAUGAAAUCAACAUUUUGAUGUGGGAGUUUAGUGCUCGUCAUGUGGCUAAUCAGGCAAAGACCUCAGAGGAGCGAGGAAUGUUAGAAACCCCAAUUUGUGCUCCGCAAAUAGUCCCGCGUAUUCGUGGCCUUUAUGGGAUGGACAUUCUUACAAAGUGAACGAUCGGAUGAGUCCAUAUUUGGAUUAUGGGGCACGUCCGCUGUUGGCAAGACACGGCUUCUUUCGCUUAUCGCUGAUAGCUAUGCUGAUUCAUUUCAUCACGUCAUAUUUCUUGAUGGUGGCAGUUGCCUGAGAGUCAUGCAAAAUCAUUUCGCAUAUUUUUUGAAAUUGGAUUGGGAGACAAUCUCAUUGUUAGAGGAGCAUUACCGAGCUAAAAUCAUUAUGGAGUACCUAAGAGCAUGUCAGUUUUUUGGUUCUGUUAGACGAUGUGCAAGAUGAAGUCUACCCAGAUUUAACAGCUCUUGGUUUGCCGAUGGCUGUUGGGCAUCGGCAAAAAGUUGUUCUUACGGCGAGGAGUCAGGUAGUAUGUGCUCGCAUGGAAUGCACCAUAUCAAACACUCUGGAGAUGAAGUGUCUUGGGGAUGAAGAUGCUUGGAGUCUUUUCGAGUAUAAUGCGGGAGUAAAAAUCACAGAAGCUAAUACUGAAAUUUAUGAAUAUGCAAAACAAGUAUUAUAUAUUUCUACAUAAUAACUUUUCAGAUAUACGUUUAACCUACAAAUAAAAACUGUGCACUAUAAUUUAUAGUUUAUAUUGGUUAUUAGAUGGUUUCAGCAUGUGGAGGGUUGCCUAGAGCCAUAUGUGCUAUUGGCCUGGGCAUUCGGUUACACCGAACCGAUCGGUUCGGUGCCUCGGUCUAUUUUUAAUUUCGGUUUCCAAAUUUUAUGGACCGAUCGGUCUUUUGAGAAUUCACUAACCGAGGCUUUCGGUCCAGCGAGAAUUCGGCUCGGUCCUCGGUUAUAACCGAAGGGGACUUGUUUUCUACGGAAACACUAACGCCCACAUGUGUGGGCGUUCUCCAACUCGCCCACACAUCUAGAUGGUCGUUGAUUGUCUUUUGCACGAAUCUUGACACGAAAAGGUGGAUUUGAUGUGCCACAUAGGACGGGGCUAGUGUGUGGGCGUUGGAGAGUUUGCCCACACGCCCCGCAUCACGCUGUUGCCAGCUGCGAUGUGUGGGUGAACUAGUUUCUGCCCACACAGCCACCACCUAGUCCAUGCGCGUGUGGGCGAACUGAUUUUCACCCACACAACAAUCCUACAUUAUGGAUGGCAACUGCAGUUACGUGAACAUGGCAACUAGGUAAACAAACAUGGUAACUGUGAUUCUUUUGCUAGACGGCAACUGCAGUUGCGCGUGUGUGGCAAACAGAUAAACACACAUGGCAACUGCGAUUAACUGUGCAUGGCAACUAUGGUUGGACCACACGUGGCAACUAGGUAAACACACAUGGCAACUACUGUUUGAGCAUGUGUGGCAAGUAGUUAAUCACACACGGCAACUACGAUUUUAAUUACACGCGGCAACUACCAUAAAUUAGACAUGGCAACUAUAAUUGAUCAAAACAAAUAGAGUUGCCAUGCUUUUACAACUACACUUGCCAUCCCGGAUAACUACAUCUGCCAACCAGGAUGGCAACUAAAUCGUCAUCCCGCGGGUACCUAACGUUGCUGCGCUAGGACGUGUGGGCAUUUUUGCUUCGUGCCACACGCGUGGGGUGGAGAUGAGUAGUACUUGUUGGGCGUGUGGCACGAAGUAGCCGCGCCCACACGUGUGUGCAAUUCUAAUGUCCGCCCACACACAACCCGUGUGGGCUGCCUCCUGCUCACACCACACAUGGUGUGUGGCCAGACCCUUUAACGCCCACACGUGUGGGCGUUAUCGACGUCCUUUUUCUAACUUGAAGAGAGAACAUACUGGAUUGGAAGGAAUAAAUCGGAAGGCAAAUUCUAAGCGAGAAACAAGUUCGGAAAAGGAAUCGAUCCAAACAUGCAUUGCGCUGCCUAAUAUGGCUCAAUCAGGCCGCUCGUGGCAACCUUUGCAUAGCAUACAUGAAUGGUACAAGGAAAGACAUACAAUAGGAUACUAGAUAGGGAUCGCGCCGUGGCGCGAGGGUGCUGGUCAAAAUGUUUGUAUGCACAUAAUAAGAAGCUACUUAACAAUGCAUGAACAUAGAAAGCAUUUUUCACGAUAGGUUAGCACCAAAUAUCUUAGGCAUAGAAGAUACGACAACACGUCGCUUAAAGACAAUUUACAACUAUGCAUAGAUAACUUUAAGUUUUAGGCAUAACGUAGACGUUUAGGCAUAGAAGAUACGACAACACGUCGCUUACAGACAUUUUAGGCAUAGAAGAUACGGUAACACGUCUCUUACAGACAAUUUACAACAUGGGUCUUGCCGUCCUCAUGAACAACGCGUUCAUACUGAGCCGGUGAUAGUCCAAGGUGUGCCAGGAGCAUGCCAAGAAUUGCCGUGUGUGGGAUCCUAAGCACUCGCUUGGUGUCCUGCAGUUCCCAAUAAUAUAAAACAUAAGGCCUUGGGGAAUUGCCCAAAACAAUUGCGGAUAAAAGCAACCAUAGUGAUAAAAAAGAUAUGCCAAGCCUAUCCUUUAAUCAGGAUUUUGUUUAGGAUGUGCCAAGCAUUUAAAAAAACAGACUAUGAAUCAGGAUUUUGUUGCAAACAUACUGAAUGAUGGAAUGAGAAGAGGAAUAUAUUCAUGAAAUAAAGCAAGAGAGAUAAAGUUGAAAGGAAAGAAGUGCAGAGCUUGCAGGUGAAAAACAUCAUAUAAAAUGUAUAAUCACCAAUCAGGCAAUUUCAAGAUAUCAUGACUUAUUGCUGUGAUUAAAACAAAGCUUGUUGAUGAAUGAUUGGAAUCAGCUAUUCACUGAAUAAAUAUAUUCAUGGCGUAGUUUCAGUUUUGUGCCAUGAAGAGAGGCCGUCGAGUGUGAUAUCUAGAACAGAGAUGACCAUAUAUAUCAAGAAUGGUGAGGUAUGAAGAAAACAAACUCUCUAAGGAACACAUGCAGGUAGGUAUUUUUUUCUUGGAUUCUAUUGCUUCUACCUGAAUCUCAAGGUAUACAGUGACAUCCACGAUUAGCGGAAUUAAGCAACAACGACAUGCUCUCUGAUUUCAAUGUAACAUGUUUCAAUUCCUCUAUAACCCCUGUGUUUUAUCAAAACAAGCGCACAAACAAGAUAAUCAUCGAAACAAUAUUAUGUUCUCAACAAGGCUAUGUGCAUUCUUCUCAAGUCUGAGAUAUGCACGUACUGUGGUCUUAGAUCAAUUGAUAAUCACCAGAACUAACUACAGUACAUAGUUUGUGAAUCAAAAGUGAGAAAAUACCAGGAAGAUGAUUUGUGUAGUUGCAAGAGCUCAGGGGAAAGGAGAGUAGGCGGACCUGCUUGCUGGAGCUCCUUGACUGGCCAGUUGAACGUGCAGCCACAGUCGAGAGAGUGCUACUACCUUACAUGAGAGCAUGUUAAAUGGAAAAAACUCAAAUCCCUAACAAGAACAUUUUUUGAAAGAUCCAUAAAAUCCAGAUCGGGAUAGCGGGACUAACACGAACUCAUCCUUCACGCGAGCACCGCCACUCGAUGGAGAUGGUCGGUACCCCACGCCACUCCACGCAUCAUCAUAUUCCUCCUUCACGCGAGCACCGCUGCUCGGCAGCCUCCACAUCUGCCGGCUCGGCUCCCUCGGCGGCCGCUGUGCCCCACGCCGACAUAAGCGCCCAUCCAAAGGGAAAUAAAGAAGUAGACAACAAAACAAAGAGCGAUGUUAAUAUAACCACAUCAUUCAAUUCACGUGUCAAGAUACAAUAGGAAGUCUUUCCACCAAGCGGCUUGAUACAUACAAUUAAACUCAGGAAAAUAAUUUUCACCACUCAUAGAUAAUAAGCAGCUGUAAGGGGGCACACAGACAACCGCAUACCAGUAUACAUGCAAAUAACUUCAAAUAAACGUAUGCCACAGGAAAAGUAAACUCCAACAUAUUACCAAAGAGACAAUAAAAGCUCUGAGCCGAAAAAUCUAAGAAAUGCUCAAAUCAGUUUACUUAAUAGUUACGAAAUUAAUUAUUCUCGGUCAGGUGGUUCUGGUAUACUUAAGAAAACACUUGUAGACUUCAAGUACAGAUAAAUACUCAAGCUACAUGGAACUAUAGUCAACAACAUAGUUCUAUAAUAACAAGUGAUUCCAAUUAAACACAAGUGCUCAGAACCAUGGAACUGGAGCUUUAUAAAAUCAUGCUACUAAUUAUCUUAGAGACCAAUUAAACUCAUAUGCGGACCAUGGUCAACUGUGGGUUUAUACACUCGUCAGAAAUAUUGGCCACGAAAAACAUAACAGCAUUAAUACAGUCAACACAUACCUCAAGUACUGAAGGACUGAGGCACUGAUCAUCUGUUUGACUCAUUUUCACUUCUGCAUACGCUACUUUUAUAAAGUGAUCGAGCAGGGGUGCAGCAUCGUCGAGCAGGGGCGGCGGCGACAGCCAGACCACCUUGAGCACCACGGUCCGGAAGCCAAGAGGAUGAGCAGACGAAAAUCAGAAUGGAUUAACCAGGAAACCCUAGACAAAUCCCAAAAAAACAACAAAUCCCUUGAUGAGCACAUACACAUCACAAAGGGAAAGACAAACAAGGGAGCAAAUAAUCACCUCAGCCAUCUUAGAAGCCCACUCGGUGUGCUCCCUCUCUGGCCGACCCGCAAGACAGCCCCAACGCCACGCCACCGUCCCAACCGUGAAACAGCCAGAGAAGCAAGGAAGAUGGUAAGAAACAAGCGAAAUAAAAGGUAGUGGGAUCCAAUACAAACAUUAACCAUCCUAAAGACGUUGUUAUUAGAAACAUGACACUGUGGUUUCUGAUGGUUUAUCAUCAAAUUAAAACAAGACAUUGAACCGACGACUUGCUUACUCUUAACCAGAUGAAAUCAAGGACCAACAACAAACAAUAAAAGUCAAGAACAACUUAUAUGCAAUAAAGGUAUGAGAGGGAAGAAAUAUUCACAUAAGACGGCUAUAAACACUGGAGCAUAAAUAAGCAACACCUUUAAAUACAAAUAAAAGGGUUCCGGGUUCAAUGCAUAGUGGGCUCAGAUUUGCCUUUCCUCGAUCAUAUAAUCUACCCCCGCCAUCUCUUGUCACCAGAUUAAUUUGUUUAUACAGUGGAGCUGCCCUUGUUAUCACUCAACAAGAAUGACCAUCCAAGGACAGAACAAUAAGUAUCACAUGAUCAAAAAGUAUUCUAGAGACAAGAGGGAGGACCCAACUUGAUACCCACAGGUGCCUUGAUUGCUCAAAGGAACACUUAUUUCAGCCACAGCGAAUCAUCAUCGCCCUAGCAAGGAUGGCUUCCAACUGGUGGCGCACGUGCGAAUAAAAAGGGUUCAGGGUUCAAUGCAUAUGGGCUCAGAUUUUCCUUUCCUCGAUCAUAUAAUCUACCCCCAUCAUCUCUUAUCACCAGAUCAAUCUGUUUAUACAGUGGAGCUGCCCUGAUUAUCACUCAAUAAGAAUGACCAUCCAAAGGACAGAACAAUAAGUAUCAGAGGAUCAAAAAGGAUUCUGGAGACAAGAGGGAGGACCGAACUUGAUACCCACGGCUAAUCAUCAUCGCCCUAGCAAGAAUGGCUUCCGACCGAUGGGGCACGUGAUUCAAACGCGGUGGCACGAGAUAUCUCAUUUUGGGAGUAACUAUACAUUCCCGCGGUAACUUUUUUUAUCCGAUGGACGAGGUCGUUACAGGGAUCGAUCCGACGGCCCAAGAUCCAUCAAGCAACCAGAUCCGACGGCCAGGAAUCCCAAAUCGCUGAGGAGCAGCCUGAGGAGCUUCUAUUCUUAUUUCUGGAUGGACUUAUUUCUGGAUUUCUGGAUGGAUCACCGGAUCGAUAUGUUCUUACGAGGGUUUAACUGCCAUGCUUAUCACUCAUUAGAAAUGACCAUCCAAGGUCAGAGCCACUAAAAUAAGAACGUGAUCAAAACAGCUCAAAGAAACAAGGGAGGAUCCAAAUUAAUACCCACAAGUGCCUCGACUACUUGAGAGCAUGCCUAUCUCAGCCAUAACUGAUCAUCAUAGCCCUGGCCAUGUCCCAUAUAGUCGUCGAAGCAAAGCAGGGGAAGAUGGAGCUCACAGAGGGAGGUUGUAGCCGAGGCAGUACUCAGAGGGCACCAGGGUUGCGCCUAAACGCCAUCCAACUAGUGAGGAACCACGUCGGAGUUGCGCCUUGCACCAUCCCGCCGACGAGCACGAAAGCCAUGGGCACCGAAGUGGCCAAGGAGGCGAGGAGGUGAUGUAUAGCACAUCUAGGAGCACCAUCAGAGACGACCGGGGCAACGAGCAGGCAGGGAGAGAGGCGAGGCGGCAGGGAGAGGAAAGGGCACGAUGUGAGUGCAGGCCUGCAGGGAGCGGAACAUUAGCUAUUUUUUCUUUCGCAGUAUAUAGGAAGUAUCAAACAUAUCAUAUAAGUGCAAUCAUCUUUGAUAAUAUAAGAGAGCAUAAAAAUCACAGAGCUUGUUUAAGAUAUUUUGUCACAUCAAGUAGUUUAGAUAAGAAAAGCCUAACCCAGAGUUACAAAUAAUUGGAGCGAGUGAUAGAUUUAUUAUUCUGAUAAUUUGGUAGUGACUAUACAUAAAUAAUUCAUUCGCCAACAGUAAAAAAUAUGCGAUGCAUUAUUUACACAAAACAAUAUUUUUUUGUAUAGGGUCAGAAAGAUAUUUCAGCAUUCAAAUCAAUAAGGCUGAAAUAAUCUAAGAGUAUUAUCACUAUAGAGCAACAAUUUAUGAACUCGCUGUCAGUCAAAAGUAUUAUCACUACAGAGGAACAAUGAUUUACAGAGAAGGGGAUGAGUAAGGUUUGUUUGCUCAGGACUGUGCAUCAACUAAUCACCUAAAGUAAUUUCAAUAAAUAAAAAUUUACAUAUCGACCAAGAUAAACGUCAUGGUUAAAAAAUACGUUGAUAAUAUAUACAUCAAUGACAUCUCAAAGCUCAUUUCACAACAAGACUAUUGUAAACUUGAUAUAAAUAUAUAAUGGCCCCAUAAAGAUCCCCAUCUGUAGAAACCAAGUGAAAAAUCGUUUGGAAUAUGGUGUUUAGAUAUCACUGCCCAUAAAUAUAUAAUGUCGCAUGAAAAAUGGUGUUUGUUCUAAAUGGUCACUGAAAAUACUUGUUCUUGCGCUGCAAACAUACACAGAUAAAGGGCAAGCCAACAACCGUAGGUAUUCAGUAGGCCUAUACACAUACACCUAUUUUCCUCUAUUCUAGAAUCAAGAUGCACUUUCAUGUAUUGUUAGAUUAUUUCUCAUCGUAAAGAGGAUCGAGCCAAAGCUUGAUUAUAAGUAUGUAAGCAAACAAUAUGGACAGAAGGAACAAACAUUGGGUGUCAAAUGCAAACAGUAAGCUUCAGAGAAUUUACAUCUCCUAAAAUCAUUCAAGGGAUAGUAGCCUUUUGACUACAUGGUAGGUUGGUAGGUAGAAAUACGUUCAUAUACAUUGACAUCAACAUUUUUAACCUGGGAAUAGAUAAAAAAACGGCAAAGACGCAUCUCAUAUAAUCAAAGUAAACAUGGUAGAUCCAAAGCAAUGUAUCUAAGACUUAAAUUAAGGGGAAAAUGCAAACUAAUUAAAGAUUGAAGCCAUCAAUUUCACCCCCACAAUUUGCAAAUUGUAAUGUUCUCAGAUGAACUAACUGAAUAUAUUUACAUAAGGCAAGAGAAAUCAUCAUCACUGAUAUUCCCUACAGACCUAGGUCUCUGCCAAGAAUCACACAAGUUCCUUGAUGCUCCAAAAACCAAGCGAUGUUCGAGCAAGGGAAACACGAAAAGGCGCGAGGAGAGCUCCGUCGGGAGGGAGAGGGGUAGGGUUCGUACCUUGACUACAUGAGUUCACUGUAACUUCACCUCCGGAUCCAGGCGAGGUACUCUGUAAUUUAGAAACAGAGAUUCACUACGGUGGGUCAACUACGGCACAAUCGCUGGUGAGAACAUCAGAAGAACUUAUUUUCAAACUGAAUUAAGGAAAAACAAUUGUUGCAAGUAAAUUUACCCUCUAAUUACUGAUAAAGCGCAACAACAUUCAGCUAAUGAGACAUGAGAAGGAACUUUUCAUACUGUAAUAAGGAAAACUGGGCAACAUCAAAUAUCAUCUCAUUGAUUCUGCUAUAUAACAUAUAUUCACAUAAACCAUAAGAUAUGAUUGGAACUGCAAUCUCUAAACCAAAACGGCAACAAUAGAAUCAAAGUCCACUGUAUUACUAUCUAGAAAUUGAAGAGGACUACAGAAGUAUUUUUAGUGUACAUCAAGCUUACCAGGAAAAAAAAGCAUAGCUCUUGAACUGCACAUACAUGCUUCACUAACAAAUCUUGGCCUAGCCAAAACAAAUUCACCACACCUGUACAUGAACAUUCAGGGAAAGAAAUGAAACACCACACGUGAAAAUGCAUCCUGAUAACUAAUUAACUACUCAGCAAAUCAAAUGGUAUGUUUGAAUGCCUCUUUGAUCCUAUGAAACUGUAUACAAAAGAUAAGUAAUUAUCUACUCGCCAAAUCCAGUAGUAUAUUUGAGUGACUCUUCUUAUCCUUUCUCUGAAACUAAUACAAAAGAGAGCUAAUUAGCCACCCGCAAAUCGAGUGUGAUAUUUGAACGCCUCUUCUGAUCAUUUCUCUUAAACAGUUUAGUUUACACCAACUUUAGUACUGAGCAGAAUAUGUAUGUAAAUAAACCAGAGGAGACUGGAAUUUACAUUCCUAAUUAACAAAAUCAGCUAUGUUACUAAAGGGCAGUGGCAAAGGAUAACCAUAUGCAGUUAAGCCUUGCUUAUCACCCAAUUUCAGAACCAGUCAGCCUUCUAUAAGUAUUAUCAUGCGUGCAAUCUGACACGAAGGCCAAAACAACACUAUCCAUCUUCACAAAAAUCCAUUAUACGCUUCGGUACAUCUGAGAGUUAAGGAUCUUCAUUUUUAUUUAGAUGAAAUUACUUGGUAGCUAACAAACAUACCUCGAGGGAUGUGCACACAUGAGAGAUCGCCGGUGCCCUUUCUAGCUUCGGCGGCAGACAUCCUCCCUUUGCUCUCCUUCCAAUAGAUAUUAGAGUACAUUAAACCAAAAACCAAAAGGGAACAAGGGAGUGGAAGACCAGGAAUUAAUCGGACCACAAGAAAUCUAAGGGAAAAAACUAAAAGAAGGCCAAACAAUACUUGUGCAGGACCAAAUGACGCAUCACAUAGCAAUGAAACUGGAGGUUAGAAAACUACUCAGACUUUCAUGCCAUCAUGGAUUCAAUCUGAUCUAAAUGUAACCAAAUAAUGCAUCGGAACCAUAUUGACUACUAAAAGGGCAAGCACAAGCUUGCCAAAUUUACCACAAAUGUAGCAUUGCAAUCAAAUGGGUCCAAUCUUGAUGAAAGCAAAAAUGUAUCAUAUAGCACGCACGCACACGAACAGUCACAUUAUCCUCAUCUUGCUGAAAGCAAAAAAUGUAUCAUGUACUGUAAAUUCAUACCUUGACCUGCAAAGGGUAUGGUCCAGUUUCAAUCAUGUUGGCCUUUAGAUAAGUUUUUGAACAACAAUUUCACCACCUGAACAAAAAGCAGAGGAAAGCUAGUAAAUACUUCCAACAUGUUCACCUCAGUAUAGUGGUCCUACUUAUCCAACGACCCAUAUAUCUCAAAUAGAACAGCUUAAUAUCUCAAACAACAGUGAACGUCCAGCAUGUUCUCCAAAGUUACAUAAUAUAACAUGUUCAAAGGCUGUCAAGAUCAAAAAAUAGCGAGGGGAUUUUGUAGUCACAUGGCAAAGGUAAUAAAAUUUCUUCUAAUUUAAAUCUCAGACAUCUCAAUGAAAUAAAUAAUUUGAUACAUAAUUGAAACUGAACCCUAAUCUUUUGUUGUUGAGUUGUCUUUUCGUGACUAUCAACACUUUCAGUUUUAGCGUAUGAGAUGUGUCUCUGCGUCCUCCUCCUCCCCAAGAAGUUAGGUAUUAAUUUUGAAAAUUGACAUUUGAGUGGUUUGGCGACAUGGCAUAGUAUCGGGAGGUUUCUGUGAGGAGCGAGGUGAGACGGCCACUGCCGCUGAAGGAGUGGGGAUGAUGCCAGAAUUUGACAAAAUACCAAAUUUGCAAUUCACAUGUAUCGAUUAUCAUCAGACUGUGAGACAGAGGACACCGCAUAACCAAGCUACGGCAAACAUGUAGAAGGGGAACCAUAAGUGAAAAACGAUGAAAGGAAAAAACGUAAUGGUAAAAGGCAUAUAGUAUCUUCAUAUAUGAAAAAUUAUGAAAGGAAAAAAAUGUAAUGGUAUUCUAUGGGGAUGUGUUGUAGCUUGCACCUUGAGAUAAAACUGUUUCUGUCAGCAGCAUGACUGCAUCUUGCAAGAACAUGUAGUCUCUCUUCUCUGUUUUGUCUUCUAUGUUAUGUGAACACAUAAACAGAACAAAUAUUAGACGAAAUAUGAAUUGUCUGGUUGCCUAAGAAAGUGCAUCAGAUUAAACUGUAGUAUAAUAAAUGUUCGCUUAAUGCAUUCAUCAACGGCUAGGGAGACCAAAUCAUAAUAAUCUAGGCAUACCACACCAAACAACAGAGGCCAAUGAACAUGCCAUUCUUCCUAUUCUCUUUCAGAAGCAUCAAUCCAACAGAAAACAAACCGAACCCUUUGUUUUUUCACAUGUCACUCGACAAAGAACAUCAUUUUCGAGCAAGCAAACAUGAAGGUGCCAAGUAAAAACACAAGACUAAACAGACACGAGCCAAGUGGACCAAUCCAAAUGCACCAGGCCAAUCCAAAAGGCACAUGUCCUGCUCCAUUCACCUCUUCCUGAAAGCUCACUACAAUCCUAGAGAAAGAUCCCAAUGAAGGAAAAGGUUUUCGGCCAGUUCAAGGGAUUGACUACGAUGAGACCUUCUCACCCGUAGCGAUGCUUAAGUCCGUCCGAAUCAUGUUAGCAAUUGCCGCAUUUUAUGAUUAUGAAAUUUGGCAGAUGGAUGUCAAAACUGCAUUCCUGAAUGGAUUUCUGAAAGAAGAGUUGUAUAUGAUGCAACCGGAAGGUUUUGUCGAUCCAAAAGGAGCUAACAAAGUGUGCAAGCUCCAGCGAUCCAUUUAUGGACUGGUGCAAGCCUCUCGGAGUUGGAAUAAACGUUUUGAUAGUGUGAUCAAAGCAUUUGGUUUUAUACAGACUUUCGGAGAAGCCUGUAUUUACAAGAAAGUGAGUGGGAGCUCUGUAGCAUUUCUGAUAUUAUAUGUGGAUGACAUAUUGCUGAUUGGAAAUGAUAUAGAAUUUCUGGAUAGCAUAAAGGGAUACUUGAAUAAAAGUUUUUCAAUGAAAGACCUCGGUGAAGCUGCUUACAUAUUAGGCAUUAAGAUCUAUAGAGAUAGAUCAAGACGCUUAAUUGGACUUUCACAAAGCACAUACCUUGACAAGAUUUUGAAGAAAUUCAAAAUGGAUCAAGCAAAGAAAGGAUUCUUGCCUGUAUUACAAGGUGUGAAGUUGAGUAAGACUCAAUGCCCGACCACUGCAGAAGAUAGAGAGAAUAUGAAAGAUGUUCCCUAUGCAUCAGCCAUAGGCUCUAUCAUGUAUGCAAUGCUGUGUACCAGACCUGAUGUGUGCCUUGCUAUAAGUUUAGCAGGGAGGUACCAAAGUAAUCCAGGAGUGGAUCACUGGACAGCGGUCAAGAACAUCCUGAAAUACCUGAAAAGGACUAAGGAUAUGUUUCUCGUAUAUGGAGGUGACAAAGAGCUCACCGUAAAAGGUUACGUUGAUGCAAGCUUUGACACUGAUCCGGACGAUUCUAAAUCGCAAACCGGAUACGUGUUUACAUUAAACGGUGGAGCUGUCAGUUGGUGCAGUUCUAAACAAAGCGUCAUAGCGGGAUCUACAUGUGAAGCGGAGUACAUACCUGCUUCGGAAGCAGCGAACGAAGGAGUCUGGAUGAAGGAGUUCAUAUCCGAUCUAGGUGUCAUACCUAAUGCAUCGGGUCCAAUGAAAAUCUUUUGUGACAAUACUGGUGCAAUUGCCUUGGCAAAGGAAUCCAGAUUUCACAAAAGGACCAAACACAUCAAGAGACGCUUCAACUCCAUCCGGGAUCUAGUCCAAGUGGGAGACAUAGAGAUUUGCAAGAUACAUACGGAUCAGAAUGUUGCAGACCCGUUGACUAAGCCUCUUCCACGAGCAAAACAUGAUCAGCACCAAAGUUCCAUGGGUGUUAGAAUCAUUACAGUGUAAUCUAGAUUAUUGACUCUAGUGCAAGUGGGAGACUGAAGGAAAUAUGCCCUAGAGGCAAUAAUAAAGUUAUUAUUUAUUUCCUUAUAAUCAUGAUAAAUGUUUAUUAUUCAUGCUAGAAUUGUAUUAACGAGAAACAUAAUACAUGUGUGAAUACAUAGACAAAGAAAGUGUCACUAGUAUGCCUCUACUUGACUAGCUCGUUAAUCAAAGAUGGUUAUGUUUCCUGACCAUAAACAAUGAGUUGUUAUUUGAGUAACGAGGUCACAUCAUUAGUUGAAUGAUCUGAUUGACAUGACCCAUUCCAUUAGCUUAGCACCUGAUCGUUUAGUAUGUUGCUAUUGCUUUCUUCAUGACUUAUACAUGUUCCUAUGACUAUGAGAUUAUGCAACUCCCGUUUGCCGGAGGAACACUUUGGGUGCUACCAAACGUCACAACGUACCUGGGUGAUUAUAAAGGAGCAUUACAGGUGUCUCCAAAGGUAGAUGUUGGGUUGGCGUAUUUCGAGAUUAGGAUUUGUCACUCCGAUUGUCGGAGAGGUAUCUCUGGGCCCUCUCGGUAAUGCACAUCACAUAAGCCUUGCAAGCACUGCAACUAAUAUGUUAGUUGUGAGAUGAUGUAUUACGGAACGAGUAAAGAGACUUGCCGGUAACGAGAUUGAACUAGGUAUUGGAUACUGACGAUCGAAUCUCGGGCAAGUAACAUACCGAUGACAAAGGGAACAACGUAUGUCGUUAUGCGGUCUGACCGAUAAAGAUCUUCGUAGAAUAUGUAGGAGCCAAUAUGGGCAUCCAGGUCCCGCUAUUGGUUAUUGACCAGAGACGUGUCUCGGUCAUGUCUACAUUUGUUCUCGAACCCGUAGGGUCCGCACGCUUAAGGUUACGAUGACAGUUACAUUAUGAUUUUAUGCAUUUUGAUGUACCGAAGGUUGUUCGGAGUCCCGGAUGUGAUCACGGACAUGACGAGGAGUCUCGAAAUGGUCGAGACGUAAAGAUUGAUAUAUUGGAAGCCUAUGUUUGGACGUCGGAAGUGUUCCGGGUGAAAUCGGGAUUUUACCGGGUUACCGGGAGGGUUACCGGAACCCCCCGGGAGCUAUAUGGGCCAUAGUGGGCCUUAGUGGAAAAGAUAAGGGGCUGCCCUGGAUGGGCUGCGCGCCUCCCCCCUCCCCUAGUCCUAUUAGGACUAGGAGAGGUGGCCGGCCCCCUCCUCCUCUUUUCCCCCUCCGGGGAAUCCUAAUAGGAAUAGGAUUGGAGGGGAGUCCUACUCCCGGUAGGAGUAGGACUCCUCCUGCGCCUCCCUCCUUGGCCGGCGCCUCCUCCCCCCCUUGGCUCCUUUAUAUACUGAGGUAGAGGCACCCCAAAAGACACAAGUUGAUCCACGUGAUCUAUUCCUUAGCCGUGUGCGGUGCCCCCUGCCACCAUAUACCUCGAUAAUACUGUAGCGGAGUUUAGGCGAAGCCCUGCUGCUGUAGUUCAUCAAGAUCGUCACCACGCCAUCGUGCUGACGAAACUCUUCCCCGACACUUUGCUGGAUCGGAGUCCGGGGAUCGUCAUCGAGCUGAACGUGUGCUCGAACUCGGAGGUGCCGUAGUUUCGGUGCUUGAUCGGUUGGAUCGUGAAGACGUACGACUACUUCCUCUACGUCAUGUCAUCGCUUCCGCAGUCGGUCUGCGUUGGGUACGUAGACAACACUCUCCCCUCGUUGCUAUGCAUCACAUGAUCUUGCGUGUGCGUAGGAAAAUUUUUGAAAUUACUACGAAACCCAACAGUGGUAUCAGAGCCUAGGUUACUUAUGUUGAUGUUAUAUGCACGAGUAGAACACAAGUGAGUUGUGGACGAUACAAGUCAUACUGCCUACCAGCAUGUCAUACUUUGGUUCGGCGGUAUUGUUGGACGAGACGACCCGGACCAACCUUACGCGUACGCUUACGCGAGACCGGUUCCCUCGACGUGCUUUGCACAUAGAUGGCUUGCGGGCGACUGUCUCUCCAAUUUUAGUUGAACCGAGUAUGGCUACGCCCGGUCCUUGAGAAGGUUAAAACGGAGUCUAUUUGACAAACUAUCGUUGUGGUUUUGAUGCGUAGGUGAGACUGGUUCUUACUUAAGCCCGUAGCAGCCACGUAAAACAUGCAACAACAAAGUAGAGGACGUCUAACUUGUUUUUGCAGGGCAUGUUGUGAUGUGAUAUGGUCAAGGCAUGAUGCUGAAUUUUAUUGUAUGAGAUGAUCAUGUUUUGUAACCGAGUUAUCGGCAACUGGCAGGAGCCAUAUGGUUGUCGCUUUAUUGUAUGCAAUGCAAUCGCGAUGUAAUUACUAAACGGUAGUGAUAGUCGUGGAAGCAUAAGAUUGGCGAGACGACAACGAUGCUACGAUGGAGAUCAAGGUGUCGCGCCGGUGACGAUGGUGAUCAUGACGGUGCUUCGGAGAUGGAGAUCACAAGCACAAGAUGAUGAUGGCCAUAUCAUAUCACUUAUAUUGAUUGCAUGUGAUGUUUAUCCUUUUAUGCAUCUUAUCUUGCUUUGAUUGACGGUAGCAUUAUAAGAUGAUCUCUCACUAAAUUAUCAAGAAGUGUUCUCCCUGAGUAUGCACCGUUGCCAAAGUUCGUCGUGCCCAGACACCACGUGAUGAUCGGGUGUGAUAAGCUCUACGUCCAUCUACAACGGGUGCAAGCCAGUUUUGCACACGCAGAAUACUCGGGUUAAACUUGACGAGCCUAGCAUAUGCAGAUAUGGCCUCGGAACACGGAGACCGAAAGGUCGAGCGUGAAUCAUAUAGUAGAUAUGAUCAACAUAACGAUGUUCACCAUUGAAAACUACUCCAUCUCACGUGAUGAUCGGUCAUGGUUUAGUCGAUUUGGAUCACGUAAUCACUUAGAGGAUUAGAGGGACGUCUAUCUAAGUGGGAGUUCUUAAGUAAUAUGAUUAAUUGAACUUAAAUUUAUCAUGAACUUAGUACCUGAUAGUAUCUUGCUUGUUUAUGUUGAUUGUAGAUAGAUGGCUCGUGCUGUUGUUCCGUUGAAUUUUAAUGCGUUCCUUGAGAAAGCAAAGUUGAAAGAUGAUGGUAGCAGUUACACGAACUGGGUCCGUAACUUGAGGAUUAUCCUCAUUGCUGCACAGAAGAAUUACGUCCUGGAAGCACCGCUGGGUGCCAGGCCUGCUGCUGGAGCAACACCAGAUGUUAUGAACGUCUGGCAGAGCAAAGCUGAUGACUACUCGAUAGUUCAGUGUGCCAUGCUUUACGGCUUAGAAUCGGGACUUCAACAACGUUUUGAACGUCAUGGAGCAUAUGAGAUGUUCCAGGAGUUGAAGUUAACAUUUCAAGCAAAAUGCCCGAACUGAGAGAUAUGAAGUCUCCAAUAAGUUCUAUAGCUGCAAGAUGGAGGAGAACAGUUCUGUCAGUGAGGAUAUACUCAAAAUGUCUGGGUAUAAUAAUCACUUGAUUCAAUUGGGAGUUAAUCUUCCAGAUGAUUACGUCAUUGACAGAAUUCUCCAAUCACUGCCACCAAGCUAUAAGAGCUUCGUGAUGAACUAUAAUAUGCAAGGGAUGAACAAGACUAUUCCCGAGCUCUUCGCAAUGCUGAAAGCUGCGGAGGUAGAAAUCAAGAAGGAGCAUCAAGUGUUGAUGGUUAACAAGACCACUAGUUUCAAGAAAAAGGGCAAAGGAAAGAAGAAAGGGAACUUCAAGAAGAACGGCAAGCAAGUUGCUGCUCAAGAGAAGAAACCCAAGUCUGGACCUAAGCCUGAAACUGAGUGCUUCUACUGCAAGCAGACUGGUCACUGGAAGCGGAACUGCCCCAAGUAUUUGGCAGAUAAGAAGGAUGGCAAGGUGAACAAAGGUAUAUGUGAUAUACAUGUUAUUGAUGUGUACCUUACUAGAGCUCGCAGUAGCACCUGGGUAUUUGAUACUGGUUCUGUUGCUAAUAUUUGCAACUCGAAACAAGGACUACGAAAUAAGCGGGCACUGGCAAAGGACGAGGUGACGAUGCGUGUGGGAAAUGGUUCCAAAGUUGAUGUGAUUGCGGUCGGCACGCUACCUCUACAUCUACCUUCGGGAUUAAUAUUAGACCUAAAUAAUUGUUAUUUGGUGCCAGCGUUGAGCAUGAACAUUAUAUCUGGAUCUUGUUUAAUGCGAGAUGGUUAUUCAUUUAAAUCAGAGAAUAAUGGUUGUUCUAUUUAUAUGAGUAAUAUCUUUUAUGGUCAUGCACCCUUGAAGAGUGGUCUAUUCUUAUUGAAUCUCGAUAGUAGUAAUACACAUAUUCAUAAUGUUGAAGCCAAAAGAUGCAGAGUUGAUAAUGAAAGUGAAACUUAUUUGUGGCACUGUCGUUUAGGUCAUAUCGGUAUAAAGCGCAUGAAGAAACUCCAUACUGAUGGGCUUUUGGAACCACUUGAUUAUGAAUCACUUGGUACUUGCGAACCGUGCCUCAUGGGCAAGAUGACUAAAACACCGUUCUCCGGUACUAUGGAGAGAGCAACAGAUUUGUUGGAAAUCAUACAUACCGAUGUAUGUGGCCCGAUGAAUAUUGAGGCUCGUGGCGGAUAUCGUUAUUUUCUCACCUUCACAGAUGAUUUAAGCAGAUAUGGGUAUAUCUACUUAAUGAAACAUAAGUCUGAAACAUUUGAAAAGUUCAAAGAAUUUCAGAGUGAAGUUGAAAAUCAUCGUAACAAGAAAAUAAAGUUUCUACGAUCUGAUCGUGGAGGAGAAUAUUUGAGUUACGAGUUUGGUGUACAUUUGAAAAACUGUGGAAUAGUUACGCAACUCACGCCACCCGGAACACCACAGCGUAAUGGUGUGUCCGAACGUCGUAAUCGUACUUUACUAGAUAUGGUGCGAUCUAUGAUGUCUCUUACUGAUUUACCGCUAUCAUUUUGGGGAUAUGCUUUAGAGACGGCCGCAUUCACGUUAAAUAGGGCACCAUCAAAAUCCGUUGAGACGACGCCUUAUGAACUGUGGUUUGGCAAGAAACCAAAGUUGUCGUUUCUUAAAGUUUGGGGCUGCGAUGCUUAUGUGAAAAAGCUUCAACCUGAUAAGCUCAAACCCAAAUCGGAGAAAUGUGUCUUCAUAGGAUACCCAAAGGAGACUAUUGGGUACACCUUCUAUCACAAAUCCGAAGGCAAGGCAUUCGUUGCUAAGAAUGGAUCUUUUCUAGAGAAGGAGUUUCUCUCGAAAGAAGUGAGCGGGAGGAAAGUAGAACUUGACGAGGUAACUGUACCUGCUCCCUUACUGGAAAGUAGUUCAUCACAGAAAACUGUUUCAGUGACACCUACACCAGUUAGUGAGGAAGCCAAUGAUAAUGAUCAUGAAACUUCAGAUCAAGAUACUGCUGAACCUCAUAGAUCAACCAGAGUAAGAUCCGCACCAGAGUGGUACGGUAAUCCUAUUCUGGAAGUCAUGAUACUAGAUCAUGAUGAACCUACGAACUAUGAAGAAGCGAUGGUGAGCCCAGAUUCCGCAAAGUGGCUUGAAGCCAUGAAAUCUGAGAUGAGAUCCAUGUAUGAGAACAAAGUAUGGACUUUGGUUGACUUGCCCGAUGAUCGGCAAGCAAUUGAGAAUAAAUGGAUCUUUAAGAAGAAGACUGACGCUGAUGGUAAUGUUACUGUCUACAAAGCUCGACUUGUCGCAAAAGGUUUUCGGCAAGUUCAAGGGAUUGACUACGAUGAGACCUUCUCACCCGUAGCGAUGCUUAAGUCCGUCCGAAUCAUGUUAGCAAUUGCCGCAUUUUAUGAUUAUGAAAUUUGGCAGAUGGAUGUCAAAACUGCAUUCCUGAAUGGAUUUCUGGAAGAAGAGUUGUAUAUGAUGCAACCGGAAGGUUUUGUCGAUCCAAAAGGAGCUAACAAAGUGUGCAAGCUCCAGCGAUCCAUUUAUGGACUGGUGCAAGCCUCUCGGAGUUGGAAUAAACGUUUUGAUAGUGUGAUCAAAGCAUUUGGUUUUAUACAGACUUUCGGAGAAGCCUGUAUUUACAAGAAAGUGAGUGGGAGCUCUGUAGCAUUUCUGAUAUUAUAUGUGGAUGACAUAUUGCUGAUUGGAAAUGAUAUAGAAUUUCUGGAUAGCAUAAAGGGAUACUUGAAUAAAAGUUUUUCAAUGAAAGACCUCGGUGAAGCUGCUUACAUAUUAGGCAUUAAGAUCUAUAGAGAUAGAUCAAGACGCUUAAUUGGACUUUCACAAAGCACAUACCUUGACAAGAUUUUGAAGAAAUUCAAAAUGGAUCAAGCAAAGAAAGGAUUCUUGCCUGUAUUACAAGGUGUGAAGUUGAGUAAGACUCAAUGCCCGACCACUGCAGAAGAUAGAGAGAAUAUGAAAGAUGUUCCCUAUGCAUCAGCCAUAGGCUCUAUCAUGUAUGCAAUGCUGUGUACCAGACCUGAUGUGUGCCUUGCUAUAAGUUUAGCAGGGAGGUACCAAAGUAAUCCAGGAGUGGAUCACUGGACAGCGGUCAAGAACAUCCUGAAAUACCUGAAAAGGACUAAGGAUAUGUUUCUCGUAUAUGGAGGUGACAAAGAGCUCACCGUAAAAGGUUACGUUGAUGCAAGCUUUGACACUGAUCCGGAUGAUUCUAAAUCGCAAACCGGAUACGUGUUUACAUUAAACGGUGGAGCUGUCAGUUGGUGCAGUUCUAAACAAAGCGUCGUAGCGGGAUCUACAUGUGAAGCGGAGUACAUACCUGCUUCGGAAGCAGCGAACGAAGGAGUCUGGAUGAAGGAGUUCAUAUCCGAUCUAGGUGUCAUACCUAAUGCAUCGAGUCCAAUGAAAAUCUUUUGUGACAAUACUGGUGCAAUUGCCUUGGCAAAGGAAUCUAGAUUUCACAAAAGGACCAAACACAUCAAGAGACGCUUCAACUCCAUCCGGGAUCUAGUCCAAGUGGGAGACAUAGAGAUUUGCAAGAUACAUACGGAUCUGAAUGUUGCAGACCCGUUGACUAAGCCUCUUCCACGAGCAAAACAUGAUCAGCACCAAAGUUCCAUGGGUGUUAGAAUCAUUACAGUGUAAUCUAGAUUAUUGACUCUAGUGCAAGUGGGAGACUGAAGGAAAUAUGCCCUAGAGGCAAUAAUAAAGUUAUUAUUUAUUUCCUUAUAAUCAUGAUAAAUGUUUAUUACUCAUGCUAGAAUUGUAUUAACCGAAAACAUAAUACAUGUGUGAAUACAUAGACAAAGAAAGUGUCACUAGUAUGCCUCUACUUGACUAGCUCAUUAAUCAAAGAUGGUUAUGUUUCCUGACCAUAAACAAUGAGUUGUUAUUUGAGUAACGAGGUCACAUCAUUAGUUGAAUGAUCUGAUUGACAUGACCCAUUCCAUUAGCUUAGCACCUGAUCGUUUAGUAUGUUGCUAUUGCUUUCUUCAUGACUUAUACAUGUUCCUAUGACUAUGAGAUUAUGCAACUCCCGUUUGCCGGAGGAACACUUUGGGUGCUACCAAACGUCACAACGUAACUGGGUGAUUAUAAAGGAGCAUUACAGGUGUCUCCAAAGGUAGAUCUUGGGUUGGCGUAUUUCGAGAUUAGGAUUUGUCACUCCGAUUGUCGGAGAGGUAUCUCUGGGCCCUCUCGGUAAUGCACAUCACAUAAGCCUUGCAAGCACUGCAACUAAUAUGUUAGUUGUGAGAUGAUGUAUUACGGAACGAUUAAAGAGACUUGCCGGUAACGAGAUUGAACUAGGUAUUGGAUACCGACGAUCGAAUCUCGGGCAAGUAACAUACCGAUGACAAAGGGAACAACGUAUGUCGUUAUGCGGUCUGACCGAUAAAGAUCUUCGUAGAAUAUGUAGGAGCCAAUAUGGGCAUCCAGGUCCCGCUAUUGGUUAUUGACCGGAGACGUGUCUCGGUCAUGUCUACAUUUGUUCUCGAACCCGUAGGUUACAUUAUGAGUUUAUGCAUUUUGAUGUACCGAAGGUUGUUCGGAGUCCCGGAUGUGAUCACAGACAUGACGAGGAGUCUCGAAAUGGUCGAGACGUAAAGAUUGAUAUAUUGGAAGCCUAUGUUUGGACAUCGGAAGUGUUCCGGGUGAAAUCGGGAUUUUACCGGGUUACCGGGAGGGUUACCGGAACCCCCCGGGAGCUAUAUGGGCCAUAGUGGGCCUUAGUGGAAAAGAGAAGGGGCUGCCCUGGAUGGGCUGCGCGCCUCCCCCCUCCCCUAGUCCUAUUAGGACUAGGAGAGGUGGCCGGCCCCCUCCUCCUCUUUUCCCCCUCCGGGGAAUCCUAAUAGGAAUAGGAUUGGAGGGGAGUCCUACUCCCGGUAGGAGUAGGACUCCUCCUGCGCCUCCCUCCUUGGCCGGCGCCUCCUCCCCCCCUUGGCUCCUUUAUAUACUGAGGUAGAGGCACCCCAAAAGACACAAGUUGAUCCACAUGAUCUAUUCCUUAGCCGUGUGCGGUGCCCCCUGCCACCAUAUACCUCGAUAAUACUGUAGCGGAGUUUAGGCGAAGCCCUGCUGCUGUAGUUCAUCAAGAUCGUCACCACGCCAUCGUGCUGACGGAACUCUUCCCCGACACUUUGCUGGAUCGGAGUCCGGGGAUCGUCAUCGAGCUGAACGUGUGCUCGAACUCGGAGGUGCCGUAGUUUCGGUGCUUGAUCGGUUGGAUCGUGAAGACGUACGACUACUUCCUCUACGUCGUGUCAUCACUUCCGCAGUCGGUCUGCGUUGGGUACGUAGACAACACUCUCCCCUCGUUGCUAUGCAUCACAUGAUCUUGCGUGUGCGUAGGAAUUUUUUUGAAAUUACUACGAAACCCAACACCCAACCCUAGCAAGAUCCACACAACUAAGAAAUUGGAGAACACACUAUAUAAAAUUGUCAAGAAUGAUAAUAAGCAUGGAGAACUAAAAUGUACUAUCACUUCCAUGUAGCUGAGAACCUAAAAUUGGCAAGAAUACAACAUACGCAGAUUUAACAAUUUUCCAAAACAAUACAAAUUCUAGUGUACGUGCAUUGAGCAGAAUAUGGCCAACAAGCCAAGCAAGGCAACAAACAUGUACUCUGUAAAUAAUUAGCUAGAUCCAAGGCCUUCGUUGGCAACAAGGUAAAAACAAAACAAGAAAGACAAAGAAAAAUCUCUUCUUUGGAACCUAGCUAAAUCAGAGAAUUGGCUAGAUAAGAUAGAUGUGCAGGGGUAGGAAGAGGGGGUGGAGCUCACCAUGUUCAGGGGGGUAGGAGGAGGGAGGAGCCAUGAGGGCUCGUGCCUCGUCCACCUGCAGCAAUUGCUACUCAUCCAGAUCGGAAUCGACCUUGUCCACCAGAGGAGCAGGGACGCGUCCAUGCACCUGCGUGACCAAAAGCAGCAACAACGUGAGGGGAGGGGAGGGGAUUAGGGUUGGAGCAGGGAGGAGGGCGGCAUCCCGAGCAGGCCAUUGCGUGGGCGCGGAGCAGGCAUAGCACAAGCACUCGGAGGCCAAGGUCGGACGACAUCGCCAGCGAAUCUGCGAGCACCUUGGCCGCCGCCUGACCUGCUCACUCUCCCUCUUCUCUUCCCUUCCCUUCACUUCUGAUGAUGAGAGGGCGAGACGGCGGGCGGCGUGGUGCGAGGGAGACGAGGAGAGAGGUCCAUGGCGGCGCGGUCCGAGCGGCAGCGGUGGCGGCGAGGUCUGCAGGGCGUUGGUGGCGGCGAAGUGAGCGGGGCGGCGAGGUCUGGUGGAGGGAGAGGGCUGGGGCGAGCGGGGCUGGGAUGCGGGAGGACGGGGUUAAGGGCGCGAGUGUGGGGGAGAGGCGGCUAGGUCAUCUACACGGGAGCGGGCCCUUUUAUACCCCGUGCGAGUGAAAUUAUGAAAAUGCCCCCGGCGAGGCAGGCUAUUUACGCGCGGUGGCACGAAACUGGAGUAACUAUUCAUUCCAGCAGUAACUUUUUUUAUCCUACGGAUGAGGUCGUUACAGGGGUUGAUCCGACGGCCCAGAUCCGAUCAAGCAACCAGAUCCGACAGGCAAGAAUCCCAAAUUGCUGUGGUGCGGGAUGAGGAGCUUCUAUUCUUAUUUCUGGAUGGACGCAAGCGGGCCGCCGACCAUGAAGGAGCACGGGCGCUACCGGCCGCCGUAGAGUGGGAGCCAUGGGCACUGCCGGCCGCCACCGCGGGAUAGCCACGGGCGCCGCCAGCCGCCGCUGGGAUUGCGAUAGGUAGAAAAGGAGGCGGCGGCGUUGUAUGCUGCGUGAGUGAUGUCGUGCGUGAAGGAAUUCACCAGCCACCAGGGAUAAGCUGCGAGGGCCGCGCGUGUUGGGCUAAGAAUUGGGCCGAUAAAAGGCUCAGGAUAACUUUCUGUACGUAUCACCUAGGAGGAGAAACUAAUUAACGAGCGCUCCUUCGGGAGACUCGCAAUGAUCAGCGUCACUUGGCGCGCUCUCAGCCAUUCGCCACGUGUCACGUUUUGGGCGCUCCCUUUGGAUUUUUUUUAUUUUUUCGCGCGCGUUUUUGGCUUCUAAACAGUUUUUUUGACGUUUUGGUUUUCCACCGGUUUUCCCUAGCUUUUCGACCAAAAAAAUCGAAUUGUUUUUCUGUGCAAACAAACUUUUUUUCUCGCGAGAGGCACGGUUGUGCUUUCGCGAGAGGCACGUCUGUGCCUCUUGGAAACGGAAAAAACGUGUUUUCUGUUUUUUUCCUUUCGCGAGAGGCACGGUUUUGCUUCCGCGAGAGGCACGGUUGUGCUUUCGCGAGAGUCACGGUCGUGCCUCUUGGAAAUUAAAAAACAAAUUUUUUGUUUUUUUUCUUUCAUGAGAGGCACGGUUUUGCUUCUGCGAGAGCCACGGUUGUGAUUUCGUUAGAGGCACGGGCGUGCCUCUUUCGGAAAGGGCAAAAACCCGUGCUCCCGGUUCGUUUUUUUCGUUCGGUUUUUUUCGUGAAAAAAAAGUUCGUCAAAACCUAUCAACAUGGGAUCUAGUUUUGAAGAUCUCGACACGAGGAAUCCAAGGGCGAAAGCGGUUCGAGAUUUGGAUGCACGGUUUAAGAGAUAAAACGUUUUGAAUAAACGAAUCUAUGAAAAAAGGGAAAACUCCCAGGUUACGACAAGUGGCGCACAUGCAGAGCCACUUGUCACAACCUGAGGAAGUUGAAAUGAUCUUGGCAAGGAGUACUCUUUAAUUAGUGAUUUCGGGAAAAAGGUGUUUUUUUAUCGUGGAUGGGCUAUUGAGUUGGUUAGUUCGGGGAAUUCGGUCACCUGAGUCCAACGACCGAACCCACCCAAGUAAUUUCGGUUUCUGGUAAUUGGUAACCAAACAAAUAACUGAAGUUUCGGUCCUCGGUUAUUUCGACUUCGGUCCUGGUUUUUUCGGCUCCGGUUUUCCGUUCUCAGUUUUUUCGCCCACCUAGGCGUAGCCGGAGCCAUUUGCAGGGGAAAACAUCCAGAUGAUUGGUGGUUUACCUACAAGCGUUUCAAGGGUAAAAAUCUGCCACUGGAACGAAUGGAAGAUAUAGUGCCUGUUCUGGUUUAGGUAAGUGAAAACUCUAAAGUAGUGUGUGAUAGCAGAUUGUACAUGCCUGAGUGCUCAAGAAAUACCCCUGGCAAAAGCAAAUGUAUACUCCCUCCAUGCCAUAUUAGUUAUCGCUCAAACAUAUGUAUCUACUUCUAGAUACAUCCGUCUGAGCGACAAUUAAUAUGAGAUGGAGGGAGUAUUUCUGAACGGAAAAUUACUUGGUAGUAGUUCUCGUUAUGAGGCUUGAAUAAAUUCAAGGCCUUGCACGGAUGCCUUCUUCAUGAUGGUGAAGGAAAUCAUUCCAGAGAUUGCUUAACAUCAAAGUUUAGGAAACCAUUCAGAUUUAUGUCUCUGAACAGUUCUUUGUAAGCAUUUUGCCAUUACCUGCUCAAAUCCCCAGGUUGGGCUCGAGACCAACCAGCCCCUGGGUAUCCUCAGUGUCCAAUGGACAUGCAUCCUCAGUGUCCAAUUGGGGAUUUCCUUUUUAGAGCUUCAGGAGUUGCAUUUGGUAUCAGCUUUUUUUUUGUUGAUAUAUUCUUCUUAGGACAAUUCAAGCCAUUAGAUGUAAAACACUGAGAGACCACAUAACUGAAUAAUCUGUGCUAGGUAUAGCUGUAACUUUAGCUGCACCAGUAUUGCUAGGAUAUGACUCUCUAAGUCUUGCAUCUGAGUCCAGCGGAUAGACUUUGAUGGAAGAUUUGCUCGCACAAGUUGUAGUAUUAGGCGGCACAUUUUAUAUGGCUGAGUGUAAAAUGGAGUAGAUAGCACAAGCCUUGGGAUUUGUGUGACAUCUGCACAGCAAUCAAAGAGGAAUCAAGUGCAUGUAAUUACUAUUUACUCCCUUUUUAAACUAAUAUAAGAUCUUUUAGAUCACUAAAAUAGUGAUCUUAAAAAGAUCUUAUAGUAUUAUCAGUUUACACUUGAUAGGCCUAGCCUCUGCUUUAGCUUUGCAGUUGAUUUCACUCUGGUAGUGUGCGUUUUCCUCGAUAUCUCUUUUAUGCCUACUCAUGUGAAGGACCGCUGCCCUGGUUUCAGGCAACUUGUGCGUGGCUCGUAGGAGCUGUGGAGACAUGGUUGGACUUCAUUACAUGUUGUUGCGACAAUCAAGAGUUGGAAGAGUCCAGAUGGCGGCAGUUUGAUGCUUACCUGUCAGUCUUCUGAUGCGUAAACACAGAGCAGAACACCUUGAUGCUCCAACGGAAUGCAAGAGAAGAACAGACUUGUUGUGGAUGCUAAAUUCUGUGCUUGUUUGUUUUGCUGUCUGUCUCAUUCUGUCAUUCGCCUUGGAGCUUUAGGCCAUAAGCACUCUGGGCGGUUGGCCUUUUCGAAAUUUUAUUAUAUAAUUGGGGCCGUCCGAUCUCUCUUUCCCCUAUCAACCGUCCGAGAAUCGCUGGCCGCUGCCUCGGUAGACUUAGGGCAUCUCCAGCCGCGCCCCCAAGAAGGCCUCCCCAGGCGAUUUUCUCGCGUCGGCGCCGGAAAAACGGCCCAGUCGCGCCCCCAGGACGCCGAAAAUCGCCGGCUUGGGCCGAAAACAGCGCUGGCGGACCCAGCCCGAACCCGGCGCGCUGGGGGGCGCCCGGGGGCGCCGGGGCGAGUUGUUUUGGCGCGAAGAAGCCGCGGGCCAGCCGCGUCAGCGACCCGGCGCCUCGUCUUCCCCCAACGGCCUCGGUUUCCGCGGGAAUCAAUGGCAAGGCUGCCGCCGGUCAGCCUUGCCAUUGAUUCCUUCACGGGCGGCGCGUCACGCGGCGGCGCCGACGCCUCCCCUCCCUCGCACGCGUACACACGGCGCGGCCCCGGCUAUAAAAGCCGGCGGCCUCCACUCCGCUUCCUGUGCACACCAGCCCCGCCCCCGCCCCUCGCCGCCGUCCAGCCCUCCCUCUCCCUGCCUCUCCCGUGCACCGUCGCCGACGCCAUGGCCGAACGCUUCCCAGGGGACGAGGCGGCGGCCAACGGCUUCGGCCGCCGUUCGCUUCGCCUCCAGGAGUCCUGGCUUCUGUUCCAGGCGAACAUCCCGGCGCCGCCGGACAUGCGCGCCGGGCCGUCGGGAUGGAGGCUCAGCACCGGGGGGGUGCCCAUUCCCCCUUUGCCCGACGUCGCGGCGAAGCCGGAGUACUUCGCCGACGAGGUUGACAUCGUCUGCGCGUCCCUCACCGACGCCGAACGCUCCCUCCCCCAGUACGCCGCCGACAACCACGCCGCCUGGGCGCCGUACUUCGAGCGCCGACAGCAGCAGCGUCUCGCGUCCACCAACGGCGCGCCUGUGGUCGCCGGGCGGCAGAACAGCGAGGGGCGCCACCUCUGGUGGGGCGUCCCCGGCCGCACACUCGAGGGCGUGCUCACGCACCUCGAGGGCGGCAACGUCCCGCCGUUGGCAUACCCCCCGGCGACGCACCGGCGCGCCGGGUCAUGGGCGCCUAGGCGGUUCGGGUCAGCCUCUUCCUCUUCCUCCUCCCGAUCCUCCUCACACUCCUCCGGAACUCCGGCCCUACUCGCCGUCAAGGCCGAGCCUGCGUCGGAGUCGCCGCUCGGUCGGCGCAAUCGCAGCGCCGGCAUCGCCAUCCACGAGGGCGGCCGGCGCGCUUCGUCCUCGGUUCCUCCGCGCUUCGUCAAGCCGAAGACGGAGCCGGGAAUGGCGCCGGUGAAGACGGAGCCGGGGCUGGUGCCGGUGAAGACGGAGCCAGGCCUGGCGCUGGCGACGGCGGAGCUCGUCGACGACAACGCGGCCCUGGAAUGGGCGCGCCAGGACUCCAUUGCGAUGGAGAAGGCGCGCCGAGAGAAGGCGAAGGAGCGCCAGCGCGCCGAACUGCGUCGCUUCGCGGAGCGACGACGCGGCCGCGACGAAGGCGGAGUCGUCGUCCUGUGCGACAGCGACGACGACGACGCGCCACCGCCAGUCCACCAUGGCGACGUCGGGUCCAGCCGGGGCGUCCGCGUCAAGGAGGAGAAGGCCGACGACGACGAUGGCAGCGACGGCGCCGACGACUUCAGCGCAUUUCUUUUUUAGAUUAGCUUAGCUUUUAAUAAUGUAAUGAAAAUGGGCGAAUUUGGCCGAAAUUCGCCAUGUUCGGACGAAAUUUAACUGUUCUUCGUCAUAUCUUCGCCGAACGGGCCCUCCCUAUUUUUUUUGCACUCGCCUGUAGGCGGCCCUGGGGGUCGACGGCUGGGCGACGACUCGCCCCCAGGGCCUUUUUUUUCGCCGGCUCACCCCCAGGCGGCGCUUUUAGACGCCCCCUGGGGGGCCAACGGCUGGAGAUGCCCUUACACCUUAAACGCCAGCGCCGUUGACUUGGCUCGAGGUGAAGCACAACGGCCACCCUUGCCGCUGUCUGACAUGCCAACAACGUUGCACAUCUCCGAGUCUGGCUGCUGCCACUUUGAACAUCUACAACUGGAUCCCGCAAACCAUCUCUCAUGACGCGAACCCUCAUAUCUAUAUCAAAUAUGGGGGGAUAUGAGGGCUCGCGGACAAGCCGGGGCGCGCCCGGUCAAUCCGCAACAUAAGACGUGGCCCCAUCUUGAACCAUCUUUUCUCUUUCUUUAAUCAUUCUUUUCUUUCUCCCUUUAUCUACCCCAAUCAUGUGACCGGACAUAUGAGGAAGAAAAUGAGGAUUGUACGUGUGUGGAUGAAUAAAUAGGGGAAAACAUUCAUAAUCAUUCGACUGAUCUUUCUCUCUCGUAAGCCUCCUCCUCCACGCGCCACGUACCCACGUCAAUGACCGAAUAGGAGAGAGAGGGAAAAAAGUAACCCAACUGGACCCCUCAUAUCUUUCCUAUAUGUCUGGUCUGUCCGCGAACCCGUGUAUCUAUCUCAAAUAUGGGGGGAUAUGAGGGCUCGCGGACAAGCCGGGACGCGCCCGAUCAAUCCGUCACAUAAGACGCGGCCUCACCCUCGACCACCUUUUCUCUUCCUUUAAUCAUUCUUUUCUUUCUCCAUCUUUAUCUACCUCAAUCAUGGGCAAGUGAUCGGACAGAUGAGGAAGAAAAUGAGGACUGCGCGGAUGAAUAAAUAGGGGGAGAACGUUCAUCAUCCGACUGAUCUUUCUCUCUCAUAAGCCUCCUUCUCCACGCGCCACGUACCCACGUCAGGCUGCCCACCGCUUCGCCCCAGCCUUAUCCUAUCUCUAACGAAGCUCCUCCACUCAUUUCUUCAUUUUUUUUCUCCCUCUUACAACUCAUCGCCAGAGGAGAUUAGCCAUGGUGAGCACCACCACCAGCAGCUAGAAAAUCAGAAGAGUUUGACGCCGGCCGUAGGCACUAGCGUCGGAGCUCCUCCCUUGCAUUGCUGCAGGCGGCAUAGCUGCAAAGCAGCGUCCAUGGAGCGAAGCCAUGGCGAGCACCACCACAGCAGCGGGGGAACUGGGAGGUGCUGCUGGCAAUCGAAACGGCGCUCGUCGACGAACGCCGGUGCUGCUUUCAUCCAUGGCCGCCGAGAUGGGACACAGCAACUUGUCCACGGCCGUUGCGCUACGUUGCGCUAGGUUGCAAUCUUGUCUGCAUUGCGAUGCAAUCUGGUGUGCCGAUGGAGCGCUCGGCGUCGGCGGCGGAGCUGCAAUGGAGCGCUCGGAGCCGGCGGCGGAGCUGCAAUGGAAGUGCAAGUCGCCGGCGGCGGAGCUGCAAUGGAGCGCUCGGAGCCGGUGGCGGAGCUGCAAGUCGCCGGCUAUGGAGUUGCAAUGGAGCGCUCGUCGGCGGCUCCCCCGUACUGCAUCGCAGCGCUUGCCGACGGCUCAAUGUAGCAUCAUCGGUGGCUCAAUGCAGCGUCGUCCGUGGCUGAUGCAGCUUUGCCGGCAACUCUUGGGGGAGCCCGUGUCGCAAGUCGCAACUGCACGCUUGGAGUCUUCGUUGUUGCCACGACCGGCGACAGUUACGCGUUUGCAAGGCGAGGAACGGCUGGGGCAAGCUUGGUGCUGCAAGCGAGCGGCUGCGAGCUAGUUCAGGGCUGCGACCCAGUGUGUGGGGAUUUUUGGCAAGGCUGCGACACAAGGAAGACGAGGCCACGCUCGGCGUCGUAUUGCGUGAGAGCGACACGGUCAAGUACAAGUUGACUAAUCGUACGUCUGUGAGAGCUUUGAUCGGACGGCUGGGACCCGAUUGAUUUCUCAUGAAAUCAGUCGAAUGAUUUUUAGCAGCCGUCAUAAAUAGGGGUUUAAAAUAAACACGCCCGGUCACUGACCGGACACGGCCGCAGACAUUUGAGGGAUCGAAUUAGAGGUACGUGGCUGAAGAUGCUCUUGCACCUCCAUGCAUGCAGCCCAAAAUGGUACACGGCCGCAUGAAGCACAAUUGUGCUUAAGUGUUUUUUUCUUCAAAAGUGAAAUACGGUAGUGCUUCGGUUUGGAGCGCAAUUGUGUUUUUGUGCUUUUCACAAAAGUGAAGCACAAAUAUGCUUCCGUGUGAAAGCAUAACUGCUUUUCCCGGUAAGUGAAUAACAAAUGUGCUUCCCCGUGAAACAUACUUGUGCUUUUAUGGUUAUUUCCUUUUUCUUUUUACGGUUACCGUUUUUUCAGUAUUUCGUCUUUUGUCUCUAUUUUUUGUUUGGUUUUUGGGAUUGGGCCAAAAAAAUGUUCGUCGAAACCUGUCAAAGUUCGAGGAUCUCAACGUGAGAAAUGCAACGGUAAAACGAUUCAUGAUUUGAACGGAUGGUUCAAGAGAUAAAUUAUUUUGAUGAAACAACUCUACAAAGAAAAGCACAAACAAAUCCACAUGCCUCCCGUGUAUGUGAAGAAAUCUCACCAAAAAAUUCAUAGGUUGUGACAAGAAUCGCACAUAGAUUACGCCACUUGUCACCACAAGAGAAGAUGGGACUGUCCCUUGCAAAAAGUACCCCUUAAGGUUGUAGAGCACAGGGACGAUGCCAUCAUAAGGGCAUGUAUGAUCGACCGCCUCGAGUAGUCGCGUAAUGUGAUCCCCAAGUGGCCAAGUCCAACCAUGAUCCGUUUUGGAGUAGACAUGUCUACCUGGAUAUGGAACAAGAAAACUGGGAACCUCCUAUAUGACGCAUUUUGCCUCGUAUAGGAGCUCGACGCAGACGGGCGACGCUCGACUUGGCCAGCCCACCGACACGAAAGCCACUUGUGUUUCCUAGUGCGCAACCUAAGAAAUCCUAGAAAACAAUAGAGCACGUGAGGAUUGGAUCCCACGAUCUCGCUCACACCAUACUCGCGACUGCGACCAGUUAGCCACUCCACCACACAGUCGCUGCUGAACAUGAAGCGCGAAACUCUAUAGCACACACAUCAGGGUUGAUAUAUGGAAAACAUUUUAGAAACAUUUCUUGAAAAUUGUGAACAAUUUUUAAAUGCCGCAAAUAUUUUUUGAUAUUCCAAAUUUGUUUUCUGAAAAAAUGUGAACAACUUUUGUAAUAUAGAAUUAGAAAACACGGACAUUUUUUGCACAACCCAAACAGUUUAAUGAAGUUGUGAACAAAUUUUGAAAAAAAGAACAUUUUUUGAAUUUCCUGAUUUUUUUUGAAAACACAAACAUAGAAAAAUUCGAAAAUGAGAACAUUUUUGAAAUACCUGAUUUUUUAAAUUGCGAUUUUAGUAAAAGAGAACAUUUUUUGAAACACGGACAUUUUUCGAAAUUGUGAACAAAAUAUGAAAAUAAAACCAUUUUUUGAAAUUCUUGAAAAUUUGUUGAAAUUGGCAACAAAUUUUAAAAAUGAGAAAAUAUUUUGAAAUUCCAAAUAAUUAUUACAAAUUUUCAAACAAAAUAAACAUUUAAAAGGAAAUAGAAAAUAGGAAAUAAAAAAGAAAUAAAAAAAGAAAAUGAGAGAGAAGCAGAACAAGAAAAAAAGAAAAAGAAAAUGAGAGAGAAGGUUCUAGAAGGUUCCCAAAACCGAUAAAAACCGCUAGGAACCCUCUAGAAGAUUCCCAAAACCAUAACGUUGUACAUAUUACAGAUUGGCUGGCCCAAUCGCUCGCUCGGACGCUUCCUAUGUGCGAUUGGUCGGUAGUUUGAUGCAAAAUGCAUUAAACAUGGAUUUCCGGAAAACUUAUCGUGGUCUAGACUUAAGUAACAAAAAAGGGUAGAAGUAGCCCAGUUGUAGCCCAAAUUUGAUAUCUAUAAUUGUGUGAGUGCCGACCGUGUAGGUAAUCCCUAUUUUGCGCUUCAGGCGCCAGUUAUAGGCCAUUUUGCUUUUUUUUGAGGUAAACUGCUAAGUUUUAUUCAUCAAUCCAUAUGUCUACAAGUACUCCCUCCGUUCCUUUUGUGUAAGGUGUAUUAUUUCCGGCACGGUGACCAAGACACAGAAAUAUAUGCAUGUUAGGACGAAAUUACCCUUGACAAAUUUAUUUGUUAGUGCUAAGUAAACCAGUUAGUCAAGGAAAUUAAAGUAUGAGAUACAUGCAAUUGACAGAGAGAUACUUUCCUUCUUUUGUUACAAGGAGAGAUACAGACAAUCAGGAGAGAGAUACUUUCCCUUUUUCUGGAGGGCUAACAAGAGAAUUAUGUGGAAUUAGAAAAAAUGCACCUUACAUUCUACAAUUUUAUCAAAAAACAAAUACACCUUAUAUAAAGGAACAGAGGGAGUAUUACAUAAGGAUCAUGUGGUUGCCCCAACCAAAUGUGGCGGCCUUGAUCCAACUUAAGAGCAUGCGUAGCUAGUUUAUGUGGCUCAACAUUUGAGCUCCUAGAUUAAAAUUUAAAAACACAAGAAAUGAAGAGAUAUUUCCACUCCAAAAUCUCCUUGACUACUCCACCAUAGUUUCCACCCUACACUUCCUUGAUAUGCUUAACAACUGUUUCGCAAUCCGACACGAUCACUAAGUUUGUAGCCCAAGAUCUUCUACUAGUUAUAGUCCCUCCCGGCAUGCUAUAGCUCAAGACUGGCCGGGUCCGUCAGGCCCCGUAUGACAAAAACAAAAGAACCCAAAUAUGCACCUGAGCCAUCUCUACACACCGCGGUCGCAGUCCCGACACCACGAGAGACAGCGGCAUCAACAUUGAUCUUCGAAUGACCCUGAACAGCCGGAAUCCAUCUCCUCGGUGCUGCUACUGCUGUAUUACAUACCCAGUUCCCACUAGAGGGGUGAAUCUCUCCCAGCUCCAUAAUGAAGUGGGUAAUGAACAUAUAAGUGGACAGAGGGCUCUGAUCAAUUCCCUCAUGAAUCAGUCUGUGCCGCGCCCACCAUAUAGGCCAGGUAGUGACUGUUAACUUAGUAAAUAUCUCAUGCGAGAGCUGCUCAAGCAGAGUAAACAACUAGUCCUCGCGUUCUGUUCAUUAUUUUCCAUCAACUCUUCGAUCAGCUCCUUGUCAACUAAUGACCACACACAACGAGCAGCCGUACAAUCCAGUAGGUUGUGCCUCCAAGAGUCCAGCAUGCCACAAAUAGCGCAAGUACAUGUUGCCGACAUAUUCUGGUGCAUUCUCAUGUCUUCCGUCGGUAUGGAAUGAUGCACUAGUCUCCAUAAAAAUACUCAGAGUUUCGUCCCCAUAAAAAUACUCAGAGUUUCGUUGGAACGUAAGUUUUCCAUAGUUUGACCCAACUCUUAUCCUCUUCCUUCCUACUCUAGGGCCCCGGGCGCUGUUCUAACAAGUCUUCACGCCGGCACUUUGUUUCAACUAUCAUACGAUAAGCAGACCUAAUAGAAAACUUCCCAGAAUUUUCAUGCAUCCAUCACCAGUAAUCAUCCACAACUCAAGCAAAUAGGGAUUUGUAGUAUCUCAGCCGCAUCACAAGGUAGAAAAACAUGGUUUACCAGCUCCAUAUUUCAUCGGGCGUUCACUGUAUCAAUUAACUUAGAGACAAGUUGCGGUGGAUCCGGCACUCUAGACACCAUCGGCCUCAUGAACUCCGAUCUUGGGAUCCAGUCAGUGUUCCUGAUUUUCAUGGAGGAACCAUCACCCAGUGGCGGAGCUUGGGACACAUCUUAGGNNNNNNNNNNNNNNNNNNNNNNNNNNNNNNNNNNNNNNNNNNNNNNNNNNNNNNNNNNNNNNNNNNNNNNNNNNNNNNNNNNNNNNNNNNNNNNNNNNNNNNNNNNNNNNNNNNNNNNNNNNNNNNNNNNNNNNNNNNNNNNNNNNNNNNNNNNNNNNNNNNNNNNNNNNNNNNNNNNNNNNNNNNNNNNNNNNNNNNNNNNNCAGGUUUAGGCUAGAUUUCUAUGAAACUGUGGGCAGUAUAAUAUGAACAAAUCUCCUGGGCAGGGGGGCGAUGACCCAGGUUGAUCUUCACUAAGCUCCGCCACUGCCAUCACCUAUGCAUCUAACCAAGCCCUAUUUCAUGAUAUCCCUACCCUCCAAUAUUGAUCUCCAAACCUGGGAAGGGUGAUUUGAUUUCCCAAGUUGGCCUCAAGGAUGGAGCAUGAGGGAAAAAUACACAAUCUUCAGUAUGCGAGCACCGAGAAUGUUGAGGGAAACUAGAAUCCUCCAAGAUUGUUGACCAAGUUGAACAAUUCAAAAUCCCUGAAACCAAGGCCACCCAUGUACCUUGGCAUAGUCAUCUUGUCCCAUGAAACCCAAUAGGGCUUUCUCUUCCCCUGUUUGCUUCCCCACCAAAAGGCCCUAAUAGCUGAAGUUAUUUUUUCACCAACCCACGUGGGAGCUUGAAACACGACAUCGAGAAGACAAGAAUAGCUUGUGCCACUGAUUUGAUUAAAACAUCUUUACCUGCUGCUGAAAGUGUUUUCUCCAUCCACCCUAUAAUCUUGUUCCACAGCCGGUCAACAGAUACUUGAAGGCACCAUUUUUGGAUGUUCCUACAUCCCCAAAUAUUUCUCACUUAGUUGCUCAUUCUGAAAUUGUAAAAUAAUCUUCACCUAUGCUCUUAGCACUUUUGGACACCCUUUACUAAAGAAAAUUGAUGAUUUGUCUUCAUUUACUCUCUGUCCAGAUGCUCUAGCAUAGGCAAAAUGGACUCCGCCGACGAGUUCUUUUUCCGUAAAUUCCUUUGCGACUCCGACGAUUCCUAGUCCGAUGAUGAUGAGGAGAUCUUGGUGUUGGGGAACGUUGCAUGAAAAACAAAAAAUUUCUAUGCACACGCAAGAUCUAUCCAUGGAGAUGUAUAGCUACGAGAGGGGAGAGUAUCUUCAUACCCUUGAAGAUCGCUAAGCGGAAGCAUUUAUCAACGCGGUUGAUGUAGUCGUACACCUUCACAAUUCAUCCUGAUCAAGUACUGAAUGUACGGCACCUCCGUAUUCAGCACAUGUUCAGCUCGAUAAUGUCCUCGCCUUCUUGAUCCAGCAAGAGAGGCGAAGUAGUAGAUGAGUUCCGAUAGCAUGACGGCGUGGUGAUGGUGUUGGUGAAGAACAAUCCCGCAGGGCUUUGCCAACCACAACGGAAACUAGACAGAGGAUAAACUAGAGUGACGGGGUUGCCAGCACACGGCUUAGUGAAUGUUGAGCCCUUGGUUAAAACUUGGAGUAAAAGCCUUCUCGAAGUCGGUUUUGCCCGAUAGGCAAGAGUCCUUCUCGGACUCGAGGACCAGACGCCACAGUCCUUGGCCUCUGGCCCAGAUGCCAUGGGCCUUGGCAUCUUGCCCAGGGCCAGACGCCAGGGUCUCCGGGAUUUGGUCUCUGACCUCCGCAAAACUCCCUUUUGCACCAACCUAAAGCCCCCUGGGCCUUACCCGUUGGCCUAACCAUAUCAUCAUAUAUAUCAAUCUUUACCUCCGGACCAUUCCGGAGCUCCUCUUCAUUUCUGUGAUCUCAUCUGGGACUCCGAACAACAUCCUGUCACCAACAUACAUAACUCAUAUAAUAUUAUAUCGUCAACGAACGUUAAGUGUGCAGACCCUACGGGUUCGAGAAUGAUGUAGACAUGACCGAGGCGCUUCUCUAGUCAAUAACCAAUAGUGGGACCUGGUGGAUGCCCAUAUUGGUUACUACGGGUUCGGUACUAGAUCGGUUGGAUCGUGAAGACGUUCGACUACAUCAACCGCGUUAACCUAACGCUUCCGCUUUCGGUCUACGAGGGUACGUGGACACACUCUCCCCUCUCGUUGCUAUGCAUCUCCUAGAUAGAUCUUACGUGAGCGUAGAUUUUUUUUUGAAAUUGCAUGCUAUGUUCUCCAACAAUUUGUGCGCUUUACCAAGACCAAUGUCAUGAAACACACCAUGGUAUGUUUUGUAUCUUUUCUCUUUUUUCCUUCAUAGCACUAUAUGGCAAGAUGUCUAACAUUGUGUGCUCUAUUUUGUUUCUAAUCACGGGAUCAUAGAAAUUUUCUAUGCGACGUGGUUUAUUUGCAAGCUUUAGAUGUCUUGAGCAAGAAUCUAUUAGAUUAAGACGGUUGCAAAACGGAAUUAAAAAAUAUAUGUGUGAAGCAAUUAUUGUUGAACUAAUAAAAAUACGUAUGCCCAUGUUCCAACACAUGGGUAAUUAACUAGUCUACUAUAGACAAACAUACAUUUAGCAAUCAACACCUUUCUUCUACCAGAUAUGUGUCAACACAUUCCAUUGCCUCCGGGAUUACCUCCAUGCCACCGCCUUGGUUACCUUCCCCUCUCCAUUCCAACAGCCUUGUCGGUGAUUAGAUAAGUGGGGCAAUGUCCCUUCGUAAUUCUUAGUUAUAGUGAUUCCUUAUAUUUUUACCUUAGGUUUUAGUUUCACAACAGCAUCGAUGAGGUGGCGAUAACAUGGAUGGUUGGAAGAAGGUCUCUUUGGCAUGUCUCUACCUUGAAGACAUAUGAUCUGAUGCUUACGAAGGGCCAGUGAGGAUAGGUGAUGCGAGAUAUCUUGGCUCCCUUUGGGUCUGGCACUUGAUGUGUGGAUAAAAGAGAGUGGUUGGCUAGCUUUUGGUGCAGUGACUUUGACUUCUUCUUUCAGUUCUAUCUAUGGCAAUCUGAUUUCUUCCACCCUGUAGAUUGGUGGAGUAGGAUUGAAUGUCUGCGCUGUUCAAUGGGUGACUAUUGCAUUCAACGGUUCAAGAAUGCACUAGAUGAUGCUCCUUCAACGGUUACUAUAUUUCUUUGCUAUCAAUGGGUGACACUUGCAUUCUUGAAAGGCUUAUGUGACGAGGGUGUCUGCAACUCUUCCUUUUUCGUACAAUCUUCUCGGUGCAUUCUUCAAGCUCAAGUAUAUGACAAAUUGUCGAAGGAAGAUGUCAAGAAAGGCAUUGAAUAUGAUAUUAUUUUUAGAGGUCGUUUUAUGCCACGUUACCCCUUUUGUACUAACUAUUGUAUUCACUAAUAAAUAUUAUAUGUAAGAUGCCCUUGGGUAUCAUCUCUAAAAAAAUAUAGACAUUUCUAUCAAGAUAUUUGUCGGAUACUUCUCUAUAGUUCAAACACUUUGUCAUUAUGUUGCAGGACACAAAAUGCAGUAGGACGUAUACAUGUCUUAAGCCUUAUAUUUACUAUUUAUUAACUAGGAUAUGUUCUUUCUGAUUGUUCAUCCCCACCUCUCACGUAUAUUUUACUGCUAAGGAUAUUCUGAAAAAUGACAAACUAACUUGAAUUCAAGAUAACUAAUCUACAAUAAAAAAACUUAACCACGCAUGUCAAAUCUCUAAAAAAUUAUAAUAAAUAUAUAGAGGCCUGUAAUUUCAUAUUUAUCUUUAGUUUUCUGCAUGCCUAGAAAGAGCCAAUCUAAAAUAUUUUCCUAAAUGCAAAUUUAUCAAAAUGAGAACAAUUCAUGUUAUUUCUAUUGCAAAAUGCAAUUCAGAAUGAGACUAAACGGUUAGAAAUAUUAAACUUAUGUGGUUAAUUUUGUUAGGUGUAAUAAAAAACUGUAUUUACAAAAUAAUCAUAAAACUUCUUCCUGGAAAUACCAAGGGUUCAUCAGUCCAAUCAGACCAGUUUCUGUAUUCAAUGUAAGACCAAUCAUGAGAUGCAAGUCUGUCUCUUCAAGCUCUUAGCUGAUGCAUAAGAAAUCGGGGCAGCAAACAAGUUCUGUCGAAAGGUUUGAUGAUUGGGCAGGAACAAAUUCGUUUGAAUCAACGAGCUACUGGUUAUGGGCAGCAAGUUAGCAUUAUGCUUGCUCAAUAUAAUGCAUGCAUUUUCAUUUUUUGUGUAGGUUGCUAUUUGUGAUUCACCUCAAUGUACUUGGUUUUUUGAUAGUUCAUUUCUCAUACGACAUGAACUUCUGGUUGUUCUUACUGAAAGUGUAAUUCAAUAUGACCUAAGUUAUACAAUAUGAUUUUUUUUUCUUCAAUUGAAAAUAAUAAUUUCAGGAUUUUACAUUCUUGCAAGAGUAUAAGAGGUUGCAGACAAACCAAUUUAUAUGUGGACACUUCAUAUUGUCAGUGGGCAUACUCUUGGUCAUUUAUGUGCUGCAAUGGUGCCUCUUUUUUUUAUUCUCAUGUUAGCGAAAAGGACAAGGCCAAUUUAACCAGAAAGGUAUGAACUGAUAAUUCCAUAGACUCAUGUGUAAAGUGGAAUUUGAUCAAAAGUGCAUGAUUUUUCUUACCAAACUUAAUGUGGUGAGUACCAGUCCAACAAAUACUUUCCUCGUUCCUUUCCAAAUAUUUGUGUUUCUUCAUCCAGUCUAGUUCUGCUAACAAUUUCACCACAUUAAGGUUGGAUUUGCUCAUGUGACAUGGUUGUUUGGUUGGUUGUGUGGUGAAGGGCAUGUGCUUGGAGAUGGGGAAGUGUCUCAUCCAUGAUCCACACAAUAUAUUUGAUGCAUUUAUUGGAUACAUUUAUUUAACAAUCAUUGAAAAAAUUGCGAACGCCACUGCGUUGCAUCAUUAUGCCAUACAUUAUUUUAUUGCAUUCAUCUGCUUAUGCAUUUUGGCCACCACUAGAGUUUCCAUUGUUUUAUAAGUAUAUUGUAAUUUUUAUGCUGACCAAUAUGUCCAAAUGCUCUUAUAUAUCAACUACUCAACCAUAUGCAGUGCGUGUUUAUGUCUUGUAGGGGUAAAAUCAACAACAAAAACAACAACAACAACAACGACGCCGACAACAAAGCCUUUAGUCCCAAACAAGUUGGGGUAGGCUAUGCUGAAACCCAUAACAUCUCACAACAAACUCAUGGCUCUGGCACAUGGAUAGCUAGCUUUUACGCACCUCUGUUCAUGGUUAGUUCUUUGGUGAUACUCUAGUCAUUCAGAUCUCACUUUACAGACUCCUCCUAUGUCAAGUUUGGUCUACACCGACCUCUCUUGACAUUAUACUCCUUAAUGACCCUCUCUUUGGAUGCUUGAGCUACCCCCGGGCUUCCACCACUUCGUUCUAGUGACUUUGGCACGCUUAUCCUGUUGGGACACGAAUCCGAAAGAGAAAGUCAUUCACCACAAGCUUAUGCUGAGGGGCAACACACUCUCCAGGUAUCACCUUACAAUCAAGAUAAGCACGCCAGUCUUCUCUUCUCAAGAGGAUGAAAUCAAUCUCACUAGAGUGUUGACCACUACUAAGAGUCACUAGAUGUCAUUCUUGUUAAAGUGGAUGUUCGCUAUGAUCGUCGUAGGCUAGAGAAAAUCUUAAGACAUCUUCUCCUUCUUGAUUCCUGAUGCGAUAGCCAAAGCCCCGAUGCAUCGCUUCAAAACCUAUGUUAGAUGUAUCCACGUGGCCAUUGAGGUAUCCUCCUAUGAAGAGCUUCUUGCCAAUAGGUACUCCUAACCAUGUUCUCCAUGCCUGCCUAGAACUCCUUGGUGUUCUCAUUGUGGCCUACUUGCGGGGCAUACACGUUGAUAACAUUUAGAACUAAGUCCCCAGCUUGACCAGGAUAAUCUGGUCCCCACGCCUCCUGACGUCUACCACUCCACACUUGAGGCUCUUGUUGAUCAAGAUGUCUAUUCCAUUCCUGUUUGCAGUUGUCCCCGUGUACCAUAGCUUGAAGCCGGUAUCUCCACCUCCUUUGCUUUCUAUCCUCUCCAUUUGGUUUCUUGGACUCAAAAUGAUAUCAACACCUCUCCUCACCGUUGUAUGAACUAGCCCCUGAAGUUUACCUGUCAGGGUUCCUAUUUUCCAGCUACCUAAACGAUUCUUCCUAGGCUCGGCUAGCUUCCUUAUUCUUCACAGUCGUCGAGUCAAAUGCGAAGACCCUUCAUUUUUCACUACACGCGGGCGUCGAUGUAGCGCGCCACUAAGGAUGCGAUGUGACGACCUGAUCCUUGCUCACUUGUCACCGUAUCCAGAUCAAGAUACUACGCGCCACCUGGUGGGUGACGGCCCGGCCCUUGCCCAUUUGACACAACACCAGCGUUCUGAUAUGGCGCAUCGUUGAGAGGGUUACGCCCCAAAGAUUUUAUUCUAGGUUCAUCUCCAUUAAGAGUGGCUGAGUUCUUGAUGUUGGCUCGCCAAGCCUAUCACAACCCUCGUUUACUCGGGCUUGGGACCGGCUAUGUUGAGACAACAUAGGCAGAGUUGUCUUGUAGGGUACACACAAAGAGUAUAAUUUUGAUUACAUGAUCUGACAAUUUCCCUCAUUUCAGACACAUGAUUCUAGUGCAUCAUCAAUUAAUGCUUGCUUUCAUGGUCUGCUUAUUGGUGCCCAAGAUGAUCUGCCUAUGGAUGCCCAAGUUACAAGUAUGAUAAUCUUCUGAUCCAUGUCCAAGCAAAUUAGAGUCACUCCACAUAUUGACCAUGUUGCUGCUUUGUCUAGAGGCCUGACACUACAUAAUUACUAACCUCCCUUGACAAUUGACUCAUUCCAUACCAUACUAUGUGCAUUAUGUUAUUAUGGAGGUAAUUAUACAAUGAUAACUUUACUACCAUGUCAUGCUUUCUCCACAAUUUUAGAAAGUAAAAUCUGUCUCUAGCAUGCAUGUGAUUCUUGCAUUGAUAUUUAUUUAUUUGGAUAACCUAAUUAACUUCUUCCACACUCGUGAAAGUUAGAUACGUGCUUUUUCAUGUGUGACUUAUUGACUGUGUUGUUGCUCUAAAUCAGGUUAGUGCCAUAAUGUAUGAAAUCAGCAUUUUGAUGUGGGAGUUUAGUGCUCGUCAUGUGGAUAAUCAGGCAAAGUCCUCAGAGGAGCGAGGAAUGUUAGAAACCCCAAUUCGUGCUCGGCAAAUAGUCCCGCGUAUUCAUGGCCUUUAUGGGAUGGACAUUCUUACAAAGUGAACGAUCGGAUGAGUCCAUAUUUGGAUUAUGGGGCACAUCCGCUGUUGGCAAGACACGGCUUCUUUCGCUUAUCGCUGAUAGCUAUGCUGAUUCAUUUCGUCACGUCAUAUUUCUUGAUGGUGGCAGUUGCCUGAGAUCAUGCAAAAUCAUUUCGCAUAUUUUUUGAAAUUGGAUUGGGAGACAAUCUCAUUGUUAGACGAUGUGCAAGAUGAAGUCUACCCAGAUUUAACAGCUCUUGGUUUGCCGAUGGCUCUUGGGCAUCGGCAAAAAGUUGUUCUUACGUCGAGGAGUCAGGUAGUAUGUGCUCGCAUGGAAUGCACCAUAUCAAACACUCUGGAGAUGAAGUGUCUUGGGGAUGAAGAUGCUUGGAGUCUUUUCGAGUAUAAUGCGGGAGUAAAAAUCACAGAAGCUGAUACUGAAAUUUAUGAAUAUGCAAAACAAGUAAUAUAUAUUUCUACAUAAUAACUUUUCAGAUAUACGUUUAACCUACAAAUAAAAACUGUGCACUAUAAUUUAUAGUUUAUAUUGGUUAUUAGAUGGUUUCAGCAUGUGGAGGGUUGCCUAGAGCCAUAUGUGCUAUUGGCCUAGGCAUUCGGUUACACCGAACCGAUCGGUUCGGUGCCUCGGUCUAUUUUUAAUUUCGGUUUCCAAAUUUUAUGGACCGAUCGGUCUUCUGAGAAUUCACUAACCGAGGCUUUCGGUCUAGCGAGAAUUCGGCUCGGUCCUCGGUUAUAACCGAAGGGGACUUUUUUUCUACGGAAACACUAACGCCCACAUGUGUGGGCGUUCUCCAACUCGCCCACACGUCUAGAUGAUCGUUGAUUGUCUUUUGCACGAAUCUUGACACGAAAAGGUGGAUUUGAUGUGCCACGUAGGAGGGGCUAGUGUGUGGGCGUUGGAAAGUUUGCCCACACGCCCCGCAUCAUGCUGUUGCCAGCUGCGAUGUGUAGGAGAACUAGUUUCUGCCCACACAGCCACCACCUAGUCCAUGCGCGUGUGGGUGAACUGAUUUUCGCCCACACGACACUACUACGUUGUGGAUGGCAAUUGCAGUUACGUGAACGUGGCAACUAGGUACACAAACAUGGUAACUGUGAUUCUUUUGCUAGACGGCAACUGCAGUUGCGCGUGUGUGGCAACCAGAUAAACACACAUGGCAACUGCGAUUAACUAUACAUGGCGACUAUGGUUGGACCACACGUGGCAACUAGGUAAACACACAUGGCAACUACUGUUUGACCAUGUGUGGCAAGUAGUUAAUCACACACGGCAACUACGGUUUUGAUUACACGCGGCAACUACCAUAAAUUAGACAUGGCAACUAUAAUUGAUCAAAACAAAUAGAGUUGCCAUGCUUUUACAACUACACUUGCCAUCCCGGAUAACUACAUCUGCCAAUCAGGAUGGCAACUAAAUCGUCAUCCCGCGGGUACCUAACGUUGCUGCGCUAGGACGUGUGGGCAUUUUUGCUUCGUUCCACACGCGUGAGGUGAAGAUGAGUAGUACUUGUUGGGCGUGUGGCACGAAGUAGCCGCGCCCACACGUGUGGGCAAUUCUAAUGUCCGCCCACAAACAACCCGUGUGGGCUGCAUCCUGCUCACACCACACAUGGUAUGUGGCCAGACCCUUUAACGCCCACACGUGUGGGCGUUAUCGGCGUCCUUUUUCUAACUUGAAGAGAGAACAUAUUGGAUCGGAAGGAGUCAAAUUCUAAGCGAGAAACAAGUUCGGAAAAGGAAUCGAUCCAAACAUGCAUUGCGCUGCCUAAUAUGGCUCAAUCAGGCCGCUCGUGGCAACCUUUGCAUAGCAUACAUGAAUGGUACAAGGAAAGACAUACAAUAGGAUACUAGAUAGGGAUCGCGCCGUGGCGCGAGGGUGCCGGUCAAAACGUUUGUAUGCACAUAAUAAGAAGCUACUUAACAAUGCAUGAACAUAGAAAGCAUGUUUCACGAUAGGUUAGCACCAAAUAUCUUAGGCAUAGAAGAUACGACAACACGUCGCUUAAAGACAAUUUACAACUAUGCAUAGAUAACUUUAAGUUUUAGGCAUAACAUAGACGUUUAGGCAUAGAAGAUACGACAACAUGUCGCUUACAGACGUUUUAGGCAUAGAAGAUACGGCAACACGUCGCUUACAGACAAUUUACAACAUGGGUCUUGCCGUCCUCAUGAACAACGCGUUUAUACUGAGCCGAUAAUAGUCCAAGGUGUGCCAGGAGCAUGCCAAGAACUGCCAUGUGUGGGAUCCUAAGCACUCGCUUGGUGUCCUGCAGUUCCCAAUAACAUAAAACAUAAGGCCUUGGGGAAUUGCCCAAAACAAUUGCAUUACAGCAUGGGGAAAGAAUCAGAGAAAUCAGUUGCGGAUAAAAGCAACCAUAGUGAUAAAAAAGAUAUGCCAAGCCUAUCCUUUAAUCAGGAUUUUGUUAGGAUGUGCCAAGCAUUUAAAAAAAAACAGAUUAUGAAUCAGGAUUUUGUUGCAAACAGACUGAAUGAUGGAAUGAGAAGAGGAAUAUAUUCAUGAAAUAAAGCAAGAGAGAUAAAGUUGAAAGGAAAGAAGUGCAGAGCUUGCAGGUGAAAAACAUCAUAUAAAAUGUAUAAUCACCAAUCAGGCAAUUUCAAGAUAUCAUGACUUAUUGCUGUGAUUAAAACAAAGCUAGUUGAUGAAUGAUUGGAAUCAGCUAUUCACUGAAUAAAUAUAUUCAUGGCGUAGUUUCAGUUUUGUGCCAUGAAGAGAGGCCGUCGAGUGUGAUAUCUAGAACAGAGAUGACCAUAUAUAUCAAGAAUGGUGAGGUAUGAAGAAAACAAACUCUCUAAGGAACACAUGCAGGUAGGUAUUUUUUUCUUGGAUUCUAUUGCUUCUACCUGAAUCUCAAGGUAUACAGUGACAUCCACGAUUAGCGGAAUUAAGCAACAACGACAUGCUCUCUGAUUUCAAUGUAACAUGUUUCAAUUCCUCUAUAACCUCUGUGUUUUAUCAAAACAAGCGCACAAACAAGAUAAUCAUCGAAACAAUAUUAUGUUCUCAACAAGGCUAUAUGCAUUCUUCUCAAGUCUGAGAUAUGCACGUACAAUGGUCUUAGAUCGAUUGAUAAUCACCAGAACUAACUACAGUACAUAGUCUGUGAAUCAAAAGUGAGAAAAUACCAGGAAGAUGAUUUGUGUAGUUGCAAGAGCUCAGGGGAAAGGAGAGUAGGCGGACCUGCUUGCUGGAGCUCCUUGACUGGCCAGUUGAACGUGCAGCCACAGUCGAGAGAGUGCUACUACCUUACAUGAGAGCAUGUUAAAUGGAAAAAACUCAAAUUCCUAACAAGAACAUUUUUUGAAAGAUCCAUAAAAUCCAGAUCAGGAUAGGGGGACUAACACGAACUCAUCCUUCACGCGAGCACCGCCACUCGAUGGAGAUGGUUGGUACCCCACGCCACUCCACGCAUCAUCAUAUUCCUCCUUCACGUGAGCACCGCCGCUCGGCAGCCUUCACAUCCACCGGCUCGGCUCCCUCGGCGGCCACUGUGCCCCACACCGACAUGAGCGCCCAUCCAAAGGGAAAUAAAGAAGUAGACAACAAAACAAAGAGCGAUGUUAAUAUAACCACAUCAUUCAAUUCACAUGUCAAGAUACAAUAGGAAGUCUUUCCACCAAGCGGCUUGAUACAUACAAUUAAACUCAGGAAAAUAAUUUUCACCACUCAUAGAUAAUAAGCAGCUGUAAGGGGGCACGCAGACAACCACAUACGAGUAUACAUGCAAAGAACUUCAAAUAAAGGUAUGCCACAGGAAAAGUAAACUCCAACAUAUUACCAAAGAGACAAUAAAAGCUCUAAACCAAAAAAUCUAAGAAAUGCUCAAUCAGUUUACUUAAUAGUUACGAAAUUAAUUAUUCUCGGUCAGGUGGUUCUGGUAUACUUAAGAAAACACUUGUAGACUUCAAGUACAGAUAAAUACUCAAGCUACAUGGAAUAGUAAACAACAUAGUUCUAUAAUAACAAGUGAUUCCAAUUAAACACAAGUGCUCAGAACCAUGGAACUGGAGCUUUAUAAAAUCAUGCUACUAAUUAUCAUAGAUACCAAUUUAACUCAUAUGCGGACCAUGGUCAACUGUGGGUUUAUACACUCGUCAGAAAUAUUGGCCACUAAAAACAUAACAGCAUUAAUACAGUCAACACAUACCUCAAGUACUAAAGGACUGAGGUACUAAUCAUCUGUUUGACUCAUUUUCACUUCUGCAUACGCUACUUUUAUAAAGUGAUCGAGCAGGGGUGCAGCAUCGUCGAGCAGGGGCGGCGGCGACAACCGGACCACCUUGAGCACCACGGUCCGGAAGCCAGGAGCAUGAGCAGACCAAAAUCAGAAUGGAUUAACUAGGAAACCCUAGACAAAUCCCUAAAAAACAACAAAGCCCUUGAUGAGCACAUACACAUCACAAAGGGAAAGACAAACAAGGGAGCAAAUAAUCACCUCAGCCAUCUUAGAAGCCCACUCGGUGUGCUCCCUCUCCGUCCGACCCGCAAGACAGCCCCAACGCCACGCCACCAUCCCAACCGUGAAACAGCCAGAGAAGCAAGGAAGAUGGUAAGAAACAAGCAAAAUAAAAGGUAGUGGGAUCCAAUACAAACAUUAACCAGCCUAAAGACGUUGUUAUUAGAAACAUGACACCGUGGUUUCUGAUGGUUUAUCAACAAAUUAAAACAAGCCAUUGAACCGACGACUUGCUUGCUCUUAACCAGAUGAAAUCAAGGACCGAAAACAAACAAUAAAAGUCAAGAACAACUUAUAUGCAAUAAAGGUAUGAGAGAGAAGAAAUAUUCACAUAAGGCGGCUAUAAACACUGGAGCAUAAAUAAGCAACACCUUUAAAUACAAAUAAAAAGGGUUCAGGGUUCAAUGCAUAGUGGGCUCAGAUUUGCCUUUCCUCGAUCAUAUAAUCUACCCCCGCCAUCUCUUGUCACCAGAUUAAUCUGUUUAUACAGUGGAGCUGCCCUAGUUAUAACUCAACAAGAAUGACCAUCCAAGGACAGAACAAUAAGUAUCACAUGAUCAAAAAGGAUUCUAGAGACAAGAGGGAGGACCCAACUUGAUACCCACUUGAUUGCUCAAAGGAACACUUAUUUCAGCCACAGCGAAUCAUCAUCGCCCUAGCAAUGAUGGCUUCCUACCGGUGGCGCACGUGCGAAUAAAAAGGGUUCAGGGUUCAAUGCAUAUGGGCUCAGAUUUGCCUUUCCUCGAUCAUAUAAUCUACCCCCAUCAUCUCUUAUCACCAGAUCAAUCUUUUUAUACAGUGGAGCUGCCCUGGUUAUCACUCAAUAAGAAUGACCAUCCAAAGGACAGAACAAUAAGUAUCAGAAGAUCAAAAAGGAUUCUGGAGACAAGAGGGAGGACCGAACUUGAUACCCACGGCUAAUCAUCAUCGCCCUAGCAAGAAUGGCUUCCGACCGAUGGGGCACGUGAUUCGAACGCGGUGGCACGAGAUAUCUCAUUUUGGGAGUAACUAUUCAUUCCCGCGGUAACUUUUUUUAUCCGACGGACGAGGUCGUUACAGGGGUCGAUCCGACGGCCCAAGAUCCAUCAAGCAACCAGACCCGACGGCCAGGAAUCCCAAAUCGCUGAGGAGUAGCCUGAGGAGCUUCUAUUCUUAUUUUUGGAUGGACUUAUUUAUGGAUUUCUGGAUGGAUCACCGGAUCAAUAUGUUCUUACGAGGGUUUAACUGCCCUGGUUAUCACUCAUUAGAAAUGACCAUCCAAGGACAAAGCCACUAAAAUAAGAACGUGAUCAAAACAGCUCAAAGAAACAAGGGAGGAUCCAAAUUAAUACCCACAAGUGCCUCGACUACUUGAGAGCAUGCCUAUAUCAGCCAUAACUGAUCAUCAUAGCCCUGGCCAUGUCCCAUAUAGUCGUCGAAGCAGAGCAGGGGAAGAUGAAGCUCAUAGAGGGAGGUUGUAGCCGAGGCAGUACUCAGAGGGCACCGGGGUUGCGCCUAAACGCCAUCCAACUAGUGAGGAACCACGUCGGAGUUGCGCCUUGCACCAUCCUGCCGACGAGCACGAAAGCCAUGGGCACCGAAGUGGCCAAGGAGGCGAGGAGGUGAUGUAUAGCACAUCUAGGAGCACCAUCAGAGACGACCGGGGCAACGAGCAGGCAGGAAGAGAGGCGAGGCGGCAGGGAGAGGAAAGGGCACGAUGUGAGUGCAGGCCUGUAGGGAGCGGAACAUCAGCUACUUUUUCUUUCAGAGUAUAUAGGAAGUAUCAAACAUAUCAUAUAAGUGCAAUCAUCUUUGAUAAUAUAAGAGAGCAUACAAAUCACAGACCUUGUUUAAGAUAUUUUGUCACAUCAAGUAGUUUAGAUAAGAAAAGCCUAACCCAGAAUUACAAAUAAUUGGAGCGAGUGAUAGAUUUAUUAUUCUGAUAAUUUGGUAGUGACUAUACAUAAAUAAUUCAUUCGCCAACAGUAAAAAAUAUGCGAUGUAUUAUUUACACAAAACAAUAUUUUUUGUAUAGGGUCAGAAAGAUAUUUCAGCAUUCAAAUCAAUAAGGCUGAAAUAAUCUAAGAGUAUUAUCACUAUAGAGAAACAAUUUAUGAACUCGCUGUCAGUCAAAAGUAUUAUCACUACAGAGGAACAAUGAUUUACAGAGAAGGGGAUGAGUAAGGUUUGUUUGCUCAGGACUGUGCAUCAACUAAUCACCUAAAGUAAUUUCAAUAAAUAAAAAUUUACAUAUCGAUCAAGAUAAACGUCACGGUUAAAAAAUACGUUGAUAAUAUAUACAUCAAUGACAUCUCAAAGCUCAUUUCACAACAAGACUACAGUAAACUUGAUAUAUAUAUAUAUAUAUAUAUAUAUAUAUAUAUAUAUAUAUAUAUAUAUAUAUAUAAUGGCCCCAUACAGAUCCCCAUCUGUAGAAACCAAGUGAAAAAUCAUUCGGAAUAUGGUGUUUAGAUAUCACUGCCCAUAAAUAUAUAAUGUCGCAUGAAAAAUGGUGUUUGUUCUAAAUGGUCACUUAAAAUACUUGUUCUAGCGCUGCAAACAUACACAGAUAAAGGGCAAGCCAACAACCGUAGGUAUUAAAUAGGCCUAUACACAUACACCUAUUUUCUUCCAUUCUAGAAUCAAGAUGCACUUUCAUGUAUUGUUAGAUUAUUUCUCAUCGUAAAGAGGAUCGAGCCAAAGCUUGAUUAUAAGUAUGUAAGCAAACAAUAUGGACAGAAGGAACAAACAUUGGGUGUCAAAUGCAAACAGUAAGCUUCAGAGAAUUUACAUCUCCUAAAAUCAUUCAAGGGAUUGUAGCCUUUUGACUACAUGGUAGGUUGGUAGGUAGAAAUACGUUCAUAGACAUUGACAUCAACAUUUUUAACCUGGGAAUAGAUAAAAAAAUGGCAAAGACGCAUCUCAUAUAAUCAAAGUAAACAUGGUAGAUCCAAAGCAAUGUAUCUAAGACUUAAAUUAAGGGGAAAAUGCAAACUAAUUAAAGAUUGAAGCCGUCAAUUUCACUCCCACAAUUUGCAAAUUGUAAUGGUCUCAGAUGAACUAACUGAAUAUAUUUACAUAAGGCAAGAGAAAUCAUCAUCACUGAUAUUCCCUAUAGACAUAGGUCUCUGCCAAGAAUCACACAAGUUCCUUGAUGCUCCAAAAACCAAGCGAUGUUCGAGCAAGGGAAACACGAAAAGGCGUGAGGAGAGCUCCGUCGGGAGGAAGAGGGGUGUUGGGGAACGUAGUAAUUUCAAAAAAAUUCCUACGCACAUGCAAGAUCAUGGUGAUGACAUAGCAACGAGAGGGGAGAGUGUUGUCCACGUACCCUCGUAGACCGUAAGCGGAAGCUUUAUGACAACGCGGUUGAUGUAGUCGUAUGUCUUCACGAUCCGACCGAUCCAAGCACCGAACGUACAGCACCUCCGAGUUCAGCACACGUUCAGCUCGAUGACGAUCCCUGGGCUCCGAUCCAGCAAAGCUUCGGGGUUGAGUUCCGUCAGCAUGAUGGCGUGGUGACGAUGAUGAUGUUCUACCGGCGCAGGGCUUCGCCUAAAUUCCGCGAUGAUAUGACCGAGGUGAAAUAUGGUGGAGGGGGGCACCGCACACGGCUAAGGAACGAUCCGUAGAUCAACUUGUGUGUCCUAGGGUGCCCCCCCGCCCCCGUAUAUAAAGGAGCCAGGGGGGAGGAGGCGGCCGGCCAAGGAGGGCGCGCCAAGGGGGGAGUCCUACUCCCUCCGGGAGUAGGACUCCCUUCUUUCCUAGUUGGAGUAGGAGAAGGGGAAAGAGGAGGAAGAGGAGAAGGAAGGGGGGGCGCCGCCCCCCUCUCCUUGUCCUAUUCGGACUAGGGAGGGGAGGGGGCGCGGCCCACCUCUUGCCUCCUCUCCUCUUCUCCCUUAUGGCCCAUGUAGGCCCAAUAACACCCGGGAGGGUUUCGGUAACCCCCCGGUACUCCGGUAAAAUGCCGAUUUCACCCGGAACACUUCUGAUGUCCAAACAUAGGCUUCCAAUAUAUCAAUCUUUAUGUCUCGACCAUUUCGAGACUCCUCGUCAUGUCCGUGAUCAUAUCCGGGACUCCGAACAAACUUCGGUACAUCAAAACUUACAAACUCAUAAUGAAACUGUCAUCGUAACGUUAAGCGUGCGGACCCUACGGGUUCGAGAACUAUGUAGACAUGACCUAGAACUAUUCUCGGUCAAUAACCAAUAGCGGAACCUGGAUGCCCAUAUUGGUUCCUACAUAUUCUACAAACAUCUUUAUCGGUCAAACCGCAUAACAACAUAUGUUGUUCCCUUUGUCAUCGGUAUGUUACUUGCCCGAGAUUCGAUCGUCGGUAUCCAAUACCUAGUUCAAUCUCGUUACCGGCAAGUCUCUUUACUCAUUACGUAAUGCAUCAUUCCGUAACUAACUCAUUAGUUACAUUUCUUGCAAGGCUUAUAGUGAUGUGCAUUACCGAGAGGGCCUAGAGAUACCUCUCCGACAAUCGGAGUGACAAAACCUAAUCUCUAAAUACGCCAACCCAAACAUCUACCUUUGGAGACACCUGUAGUACUCCUUUAUAAUCACCCAGUUACGGUAGCACCCAAAGUGUUCCUCCGGUAAACGGGAGUUGCAUAAUCUGAUAGUUUCAGGAACAUGUAUAAGUCAUGAAGAAAGCAAUAGCAAUAUACUAAACGAUCAAGUGCUAGGCUAACGGAAUGGGUCAUGUCAAUCACAUCAUUCUCCUAAUGAUGUGAUCCCAUUAAUCAAAUGACAACACAUGUCUAUGGUCAGGAAACAUAACCAUCUUUGAUUAAUGUGCUAGUCAAGUAGAGGCAUACUAGUGACUGUAUGUUUGUCUAUGUAUUCACACAUGUAUCAUGUUUCCGGUUAAUACAAUUCUAGCAUGAAUAAUAAACAUUUAUCAUGAUAAGAGGAAAUAAAUAAUAACUUUAUUAUUGCCUCUAGGGAAUAUUUCCUUCAGUCUCCCACUUGCACUAGAGUCAAUAAUCUAGAUUACAUAGUAAUGAUUGUAACACCCAUGGAGUCUUGGUGCUGAUCAUGUUUUGCUCGUGAGAGAGGCUUAGUCAACGGAUCUGCAACAUUCAGAUCCGUAUGUAUCUUGCAAAUCUCUAUGUCUCUCACUUGGACUUGGUCCCGGAUGGAAUUGAAGCGUCUCUUGAUGUGCUUGGUCCUCUUGUGAAAUCUGGAUUCCUUUGCCAAGGCAAUUGCACCAGUAUUGUCACAGAAGACCUUCAUUGGUCCCGAUGCACUAGGUAUGACACCUAGAUCGGAAAUGAACUCCUUCAUCCAGACUCCUUCAUUCGCUGCUUCCGAAGCAGCUAUGUACUCCGCUUCACAUGUAGAUCCCGCCACGACGCUUUGUUUAGAACUGCACCAACAUACAGCUCCACCAUUUAAUAAAAACACGUAUCUGGUUUGCGAUUUAGAAUCGUCCGGAUCAGUGUCAAAGCUUGCAUCGACGUAACCAUUUACGACUAGCUCUUUGUCACCUCCAUAUACGAGAAACAUAUCCUUAGUCCUUUUUAGGUAUUUCAGGAUGUUCUUGACCGCUGUCCAGUGAUCCACUCCUGGAUUACUUUGGUACCUUCCUGCCAAGCUUAUUGCUAAGCAUACGUCGGGUCUGGUACACAACAUUGCAUACAUGAUAGAGCCUAUGGCUGAAGCAUAGGGAACAUCUUUCAUUUUCUCUCUAUCUUCUGCUGUGGUCGGGCAUUGAGUUUGACUCAACUUCACACCUUGUAGCAUGGGCAAGAAACCUUUCUUUGCCUGAUCCAUUUUGAACUUUUUCAAAAUUUUAUCAAGGUAUGUGCUUUGUGAAAGUCCUAUUAAGCGUCUUGAUCUAUCUCUAUAAAUCUUGAUGCCCAAUAUGUAAGCAGCUUCACCGAGGUCUUUCAUUGAAAAACUUUUAUUCAAGUAUCCCUUUAUGCUAUCCAGAAAUUCUAUAUCAUUUCCAAUUAAUAAUAUGUCAUCUACAUAUAAUAUCAGAAAUGCUACAAAGCUCCCACCCACUUUCUUGUAAAUACAGGCUUCUCCAAAAGUUUGUAUAAAACCAUAUGCCUUGAUCACACUAUCAAAGCGUUUAUUCCAACUCCGAGAUGCUUGCACCAGUCCAUAAAUGGAUCGCUGGAGCUUGCACACUUUGUUAGCACCUUUUGGAUUAACAAAACCUUCUGGCUGCAUCAUAUACAACUCUUCUUCUAGAAAUCCAUUCAAGAAUGCAGUUUUGACAUCCAUUUGCCAAAUUUCAUAAUCAUGAAAUGCAGCAAUAGCUAACAUGAUUCGGACAGACUUAAGCAUCGCUACGGGUGAGAAAGUCUCAUCGUAGUCAACCCCUUGAACUUGUCGAAAACCUUUCGCAACAAGUCGAGCUUUAUAGACAGUUACAUUACCAUCAGCGUCAGUCUUCUUCUUAAAGAUCCAUUUAUUCUCAAUGGCUUGCCGAUCAUCGGGCAAGUCAACCAAAGUACAUACUUUGUUCUCAUACAUGGAUCCCAUCUCAGAUUUCGUGGCCUCUAGCCAUUUUGCGGAAUCUGGGCUCAUCAUCGCUUCCUCAUAGUUCGUAGGUUCAUCAUGGUCAAGUAACAUGACUUCCAGAAUAGGAUUACCGUACCACUCUGGCGCGGAUCUUACUCUGGUAGACCUACGAGGUUCAGUAGAAACUUGAUCUGAAGUUUCAUGAUCAAUAUCAUUAGCUUCCUCACUAAUUGGUGUAGGUGUCACAUGAACUGAUUUCUGUGAUGAACUACUUUCCAAUAAGGGAGCAGGUACAGUUACCUCAUCAAGUUCUACUUUCCUCCCACUCACUUCUUUCGAGAGAAACUCCUUCUCUAGAAAGGAUCCAUUCUUAGCAACGAAUGUUUUGCCUUCGGAUCUGUGAUAGAAGGUGUACCCAACAGUCUCUUUUGGGUAUCCUAUGAAGAAACAUUUCUCCGAUUUAGGUUCGAGCUUAUCUGGUUGAAGUUUCUUCACAUAAGCAUCGCAGCCCCAAACUUUAAGAAACGACAACUUUGGUUUCUUGCCAAACCACAGUUCAUAAGGCGCCGUCUCAACGGAUUUUGAUGGUGCCCUAUUUAACGUGAAUGCGGCCGUCUCUAAAGCAUAACCCCAGAAUGAUAGCGGUAAAUCGGUAAGAGACAUCAUAGAUCGCACCAUAUCUAGUAAAGUACGAUUACGACGUUCGGACACACCAUUUCUUUGUGGUGUUCCAGGUGGCGUGAGUUGCGAAACUAUUCCGCAUUGUUUCAAAUGUAAACCAAACUCGUAACUCAAAUAUUCUCCUCCACGAUCAGAUUGUAGAAACUUUAUUUUCUUGUUACGAUGAUUUUCCACUUCACUCUGAAAUUCUUUGAACUUUUUAAAUGUUUCAGACUUGUGUUUCAUUAAGUAGAUAUACCCAUAUCUGCUCAAAUCAUCUGUGAAGGUGAGAAAAUAACGAUAUCCGCCACGAGCUUCAGCAUUCAUCGGACCACAUACAUCUGUAUGUAUGAUUUCCAACAAAUCUGUUGCUCUCUCUAUAGUGCCGGAGAACAGUGUUUUAGUCAUCUUGCCCAUGAGGCACGGUUCGCAAGUGAUUCAUAAUCAAGUGAUUCCAAAAGUCCAUCAGUAUGGAGUUUCUUCAUGCGCUUUACACCGAUAUGACCUAAACGGCAGUGCCACAAAUAAGUUGCACUCUCAUUAUCAACUCUGCAUCUUUUGGCUUCGACAUUAUGGAUAUGUGUAUCACUACUUUCGAGAUUCAAUAAAAAUAGACCACUCUUCAAGGGUGCAUGACCAUAAAAGAUAUUACUCAUAUAAAUAGAACAACCAUUAUUCUCUGAUUUAAAUGAAUAACCGUCUCGCAUCAAACAAGAUCCAGAUAUAAUGUUCAUGCUCAACGCUGGCACCAAAUAACAAUUAUUCAGGUCUAAAACUAAUCCCGAAGGUAGAUGUAGAGGUAGCGUGCCGACCGCGAUCACAUCGACUUUGGAACCGUUUCCCACGCGCAUCGUCACCUCGUCCUUCGCCAGUGCUCGCUUAUUCCGUAGUCCCUGUUUCGAGUUGCAAAUAUUAGCAACAGAACCAGUAUCAAAUACCCAGGUGCUACUACGAGCUCUAGUAAGGUACACAUCAAUAACUUGUAUAUCACAUAUACCUUUGUUCACCUUGCCAUCCUUCUUAUCCGCCAAAUACUUGGGGCAGUUCCGCUUCCAGUGUCCAGUCUGCUUGCAGUAGAAGCACUCAGUUUCAGGCUUAGAUCCAGACUUGGGUUUCUUCUCUUGAGAAGCAACUUGCUUGCCGUUCUUCUUGAAGUUCCCCUUCUUCUUUCCUUUGCCCUUUUUCUUGAAACUAGUGGUCUUGUUGACCAUCAACACUUGAUGCUCCUUCUUGAUUUCUACCUCCGCAGCUUUUAGCAUUGCGAAGAGCUCGGGAAUUGUCUUGUUCAUCCCUUGCAUAUUAUAGUUCAUCACGAAGCUCUUGUAGCUUGGUGGUAGUGAUUGGAGAAUUCUGUCAAUGACGCUAUCAUUCGAAAGAUUAACUCCCAGUUGAAUCAAGUGAUUAUUAUACCUAGACAUUUUGAGUAUAUGCUCACUGACAGAACUAUUCUCCUCCAUCUUGCAGCUGUAGAACUUAUUGGAGACUUCAUAUCUCUCAGUCCGGGCAUUUUCUUGAAAUAUUAACUUCAACUCCUGGAACAUCUCAUAUGCUCCAUGACGUUCAAAACGUCAUUGAAGACCCGGUUCUAAGCCGUAAAGCAUGGCACAUUGAACUAUCGAGUAGUCAUCAGCUUUGCUCUGCCAGACGUUCUUAACGUCGUCAGUUGCAUCAGCAGCAGGCCUGGCACCCAGCGGUGCUUCCAGGACGUAAUUCUUCUGUGCAGCAAUGAGGAUAAUCCUCAAGUUACGGACCCAGUCCGUGUAAUUGCUAUCAUCAUCUUUCAACUUUGCUUUCUCAAGGAACGCAUUAAAAUUCAACGGAACAACAGCACGAGCCAUCUAUCUACAACAACCAUAGACAAGCAAAAUACUAUCAGGUACUAAGUUCAUGAUAAAUUUAAGUUCAAUUAAUCAUAUUACUUAAGAACUCCCACUUAGACAGACAUCUCUCUAGUCAUCUAAGUGAUCACGUGAUCCAAAUCAACUAAACCAUAACCGAUCAUCACGUGAGAUGGAGUAGUUUUCAGUGAUGAACAUCAGUAUGUUGAUCAUAUCUACUAUAUGAUUCAUGCUCGACCUUUCGGUCUCCGUGUUCCGAGGCCAUAUCUGCAUAUGCUAGGCUCGUCAAGUUUAACCUGAGUAUUCUGCGUGUGCAAAACUGGCUUGCACCCGUUGUAGAUGGACGUAGAGCUUAUCACACCCGAUCAUCACGUGGUGUCUGGGCACGACGAACUUUGGCAACGGUGCAUACUCAAGGAGAACACUUCUUGAUAAUUUUAAGUGAGAGAUCAUCUUAAAAUGCUACCGUCAAACAAAGCAAGAUAAGAUGCAUAAAGGAUAAACAUCACAUGCAAUCAAUAUAAGUGAUAUGAUAUGGCCAUCAUCAUCUUGUGCUUGUGAUCUCCAUCUUCGAAGCACCGUCGUGAUCACCAUCGUCACCGGCGCGACACCUUGAUCUCCAUCGUAGCAUCGUUGUCGUUACGCCAUCUAUUGCUUCUACGACUAUCGCUACCGCUUAGUGAUAAAGUAAAGCAAUUACAGGGCGUUUGCAUUUCAUACAAUAAAGCGACAACCAUAUGGCUCCUGCCAGUUGCCGAUAACUUCGGAUACAAAACAUGAUCAUGUCAUAUAAUAAAAUAUAGCAUCACGUCUUGACCAUAUCACAUUACAACAUGCCCUGCAAAAACAAGUUAGACGUCCUCUACUUUGUUGUUGCAAGUUUUACGUGGCUGCUACGGGCUUAGCAAGAACCGUUCUUACCUACGCAUCAAAACCACAACGAUAGUUCGUCAAGUUAGUGCUGUUUUAACCUUCGCAAGGACCGGGCGUAGCCACACUCGAUUCAGCUAAAUUGAGAGAGACAGACACCCGCCAGUCACCUUUAAGCACGAGUGCUCGUAACGGUGAAACCAGUCUCGCGUAAGCGUACGCGUAAUGUCGGUCCGGGCCGCUUCAUCUCACAAUACCGCCGAACCAAAGUAUGACAUGCUGGUAAGCAGUAUGACUUGUAUCGCCCACAACUCACUUGUGUUCUACUCGUGCAUAUAACAUCAACACAUAAAACCUAGGCUCAGAUGCCACUAUUGGGGAACGUAGUAAUUUCAAAAAAUUUCCUACGCACACGCAAGAUCAUGGUGAUGACAUAGCAACGAGAGGGGAGAGUGUUGUCCACGUACCCUCGUAGACCGUAAGCGGAAGCGUUAUGACAACGCGGUUGAUGUAGUCGUACAUCUUCACGAUCCGACCGAUCCAAGCACCGAACGUACGGCACCUCCGAGUUCAGCACACGUUCAGCUCGAUGACGAUCCCCGGGCUCCGAUCCAGGAGAAGCUUCGGGGAUGAGUUCCGUCAGCACGACGGCGUGGUGACGAUGAUGAUGUUCUAUCGGUGCAGGGCUUCGCCUAAACUCCGCGAUGAUAUGAGCGACGUGAAAUAUGGUGGAGGGGGGCACCNNNNNNNNNNNNNNNNNNNNNNNNNNNNNNNNNNNNNNNNNNNNNNNNNNNNNNNNNNNNNNNNNNNNNNNNNNNNNNNNNNNNNNNNNNNNNNNNNNNNNNNNNNNNNNNNNNNNNNNNNNNNNNNNNNNNNNNNNNNNNNNNNNNNNNNNNNNNNNNNNNNNNNNNNNNNNNAAGGAGGGCGCGCCAAGGGGGGAGUCCUACUCCAGGAGUAGGACUCCCUUCUUUCCUAGUUGGAGUAGGAGAAGGGGGAAAGAGGAGGAAGAGGGGAAGGAUGGGGGGCGCCGCCCCCCUCUCCUUGUCCUAUUCGGACUAGGGAGGGGAGGGGGCGCGGCCCACCUCUUGCCUCCUCUCCUCUUCUCCCUUAUGGCCCAUGUAGGCCCAAUAACCCCCGGGAGGGUUCCGGUAACCCCCCCGGUACUCCGGUAAAAUGCCGAUUCCACCCGGAACACUUCCGAUGUCCAAACAUAGGCUUCCAAUAUAUCAAUCUUUAUGUCUCGACCAUUUCGAGACUCCUCGUCAUGUCCGUGAUAAUAUCCGGGACUCCGAACAAACUUCGGUACAUCAAAACUUAUAAACUCAUAAUGAAACUGUCAUCGUAACGUUAAGCGUGCGGACCCUAUGGGUUUGAGAACUAUGUAGACAUGACCUAGAACUAUUCUCGGUCAAUAACCAAUAGAGGAACCUAGAUGCCCAUAUUGGUUCCUACAUAUUCUACGAACAUCUUUAUCGGUCAAACCGCAUAACAACAUACGUUGUUCCCUUUAUCAUCGGUAUGUUACUUGCCCGAGAUUCGAUCGUCGGUAUCCAAUACCUAGUUCAAUCUCGUUACCGGCAAGUCUCUUUACUCGUUACGUAAUGCAUCAUUCCGUAACUAACUCAUUAGUUACAUUGCUUGCAAGGCUUAUAGUGAUGUGCAUUACCGAGAGGGCCCAGAGAUACCUCUCCGACAAUCGGAGUGACAAAACCUAAUCUCGAAAUACGCCAACCCAAACAUCUACCUUUGGAGACACCUGUAGUACUCCUUUAUAAUCACCCAGUUACGUUGUGACGUUUGGUAGCACCCAAAGUGUUCCUCCGGUAAAUGGGAGUUGCAUAAUCUCAUAGUUUCAGGAACAUGUAUAAGUCAUGAAGAAAGCAAUAGCAAUAUACUAAACGAUCAAGUGCUAGGCUAACGGAAUGGGUCAUGUCAAUCACAUCAUUCUCCUAAUGAUGUGAUCCCAUUAAUCAAAUGACAAUCUAUGGUCAGGAAACAUAACCAUCUUUGAUUAAUGAGCUAGUCAAGUAGAGGCAUACUAGUGACUGUAUGUUUGUCUAUGUAUUCACACAUGUAUCAUGUUUCCGGUUAAUACAAUUCUAGCAUGAAUAAUAAACAUUUAUCAUGAUAAGAGGAAAUAAAUAAUAACUUUAUUAUUGCCUCUAGGGCAUAUUUCCUUCAAGGGGUAGGGUUCGUAGCUUGACUACAUGAGUUCACUGUAACUUCACCUCCGGAUCCAGGCGAGGUACUCUGUAAUUUAGAAACAGAGAUUCACUACGGUGGGUCAAUUACGGCACAAUCGCUGGUGAGAACAUCAGAAGAACUUAUUUUCAAACUGAAUUAAGGAAAAACAAUUGUUGCAAGUAAAUUUACCCUCUAAUUACUGAUAAAGCGCAACAACAUUCAGCUAAUGAGACAUGAGAAGAAAACUGGGCAACAUCAAAUAUCCUCUCAUUGAUUCUGCUAUAUAACAUAUAUUCACAUAAACCAUAAGAUAUGAUUGGAACCGCAAUCUCUAAACCAAAACGGCAACAAUAGAAUCAAAGUCCACUGUAUUACUAUCUAGAAAUUGACGAGGACUACAGAAGUAUUUUUAGUGUACAUCAAGCUUACAAGGAAAAAAAAUCAUAGCUCUUGAACUGCACAUACAUGCUUCACUAACAAAUCUUGGCCUAGCCAAAACAAAUUCACCACACCUGUACAUGAACAUUCAGGGAAAGAAAUGAAACACCACACGUGAAAAUGCAUCCUGAUAACUAAUUAACUACUCAGCAAAUCAAAUGGUAUGUUCGAAUGCCUCUUUUGAUCCUAUGAAACUGUAUACAACAGAUAAGUAAUUAUCUACUCGCCAAAUCCAGUAGUAUAUUUGAGUGACUCUUCUUAUCCUUUCUCUGAAACUAAUACAAAAGAUAACUAAUUAGCCACCCGCAAAUCGAGUGUGAUAUUUGAACGCCUCUUCUGAUCAUUUCUCUUAAACAGUUUAGUUUACACCAACUUUAGUACUGAGCAGAAUAUGUAUGUAAAUAAACCAGAGGAGACUGGAAUUUACAUCCCUGAUUAACAAAAUCAGCUAUGUUACUAAAGGGCAGUGGCAAAGGAUAACCAUAUGCAGUUAAGCCAUGCUUAUCACCCAAUUUCAGAACCAGUCAGCCUUCUAUAAGUAUUAUCAUGCGUGCAAUCUGACACGAAGGCCAAAACAACACUAUCUAUCUUCACAAAAAUCCAUUAUACGCUUCGGUACAUCUGAGAGUUAAGAAUCUUCAUUUUUAUUUAGAUGAAAUUACUUGGUAGCUAACAAACAUACCUCGAGGGAUGUGCACAUGAGAGAUCGCCGGUGCCCUUUCUAGCUUCGGCGGCAGACAUCCUCCCUUUGCUCCCCUUCCAAUAGAUAUUAGAGUACAUUAAACCAAAAACCAAAAGGGAACAAGGGAGUGGAAGACCAGGAAUUAAUCGGACCACAAGAAAUCUAAGGGAAAAAACUAAAAGAAGGCCAAACAAUACUUGUGCAGGACCAAAUGACGCAUCGCAUAGCAAUGAAACUGGAGGUUAGAAAACUACUCAGACUUUCAUGCCAUCAUGGAUUCAAUCUGAUCUAAAUGUAACCAAAUAAUGCAUCGGAACCAUAUUUACUACUAAAAGGGCAAGCACAAGCUUGCCAAAUUUACCACAAAUGUAGCAUUGCAAUCAAAUGGGUCCAAUCUUGAUGAAAGCGAAAAUGUAUCAUAUAGCACGCACGCACACGAACAGUCACAUUAUCCUCAUCUUGCUGAAAGCAAAAAAUGUAUCAUGUACUGUAAAUUCAUACCUUGACCUGCAAAGGGUAUGGUCCAGUUUCAAUCAUGUUGGCCUUUAGAUAAGUUUUUGAACAACAACUUCACCACCUGCACAAAAAGCAGAGGAAAGCUAGUAAAUACUUCCAACAUGUUCACCUCAGUAUAGUGGUCCUACUUAUCCAACGACCCAUAUAUCUCAAAUAGAACAGCUUAAUAUCUCAAACAACAGUGAACGUCCAGCAUGUUCUCCAAAGUUACAUAAUAUAACAUGUUCAAAGGUUGUCAAGAUCAAAAAAAUAGCGAGGGGAUUUUGUAGUCACAUGGCAAAGGUAAUAAAAUUUCUUCUAAUAUAAAUCUCAGACAUCUCAAUGAAAUAAAUAAUUUGAUACAUAAUUGAAACUGAACCCUAAUCUUUUGUUGUUGAGUUGUCUUUUCGUGACUAUCAACACUUUCAGUUUUAGCGUAUGAGAUGUUUCUCUGCGUCCUCCUCCUCCCCAAGAAGUUAGGUAUUAAUUUUGAAAAUUGACAUUUGAGUGGUUUGGCGACAUGGCAUAGUAUCGGGAGGUUUCUGUGAGGAGCGAGGUGAGACGGCCACUGCCGCUGAAGGAGUGGGGAUGAUGCCAGAAUUUGACAAAAUACCAAAUUUGCAAUUCACAUGUAUCGGUUAUCAUCAGACUGUGAGACAGAGGACACCGCAUAACCAAGCCACGGCAAACAUGUAGAAGGGGAACCAUAAGUGAAAAACGAUGAAAGGAAAAAACGUAAUGGUAAAAGACAUAUAGUAUCUUCAUAUAUGAAAAUUUAUGUAAGGAAAAAAAUGUAAUGGUAUUCUACGGGGAUGUGUUGUAACUUGCACCUUGAGAUAAAAUUGUUUCUGUCAGCAGCAUGACUGCAUCUUGCAAGAACAUGUAGUCUCUCUUCUCUGUUUUGUCUUCUAUGUUCUGUGAACACAUAAACAGAACGAAUAUUAGACGAAAUAUGAAUUGUCUGGUUGCCUAAGAAAGUGCAUCAGAUUAAACUGUAUAGAUAGUAUAAUAAAUGUUCACUUAAUGCAUUCAUUAACGGCUAGGGAGACCAAAUCAUAAUAAUCUAGGCAGACCACACCAAACAACAGAGGCCAAUGAACAUGCCAUUCUUCCUAUUCUCUUUCAGAAGCAUCAAUCCAACAGAAAACAAACCGAACCCUUCGUUUUUUCACAUGUCACUCGACAAAGAACAUCAUUUUCCAGCAAGCAAACAUGAAGGUGCCAAGUAAAAACACAAGACUAAACAGACACGAGCCAAGUGGACCAAUCCAAAUGCACCAGACCAAUCCAAAAGGCACAUGUCCUGCUGCAUUCACCUCUUCCUGAAAGCUCACUACAAUCCUAGAGAAAGAUCCCAACCCUAGCAAGAUCCAGACAACUAAGAAAUUGGAGAACACACUAUAUAAAAUUGUCAAGAAUGAUAAUAAGCAUGGAGAACUAAAAUGUACUAUCACUUCCAUGUAGCUGAGAACCUAAAAUUGGCAAGAAUACAUCAUAGCAGAUUUAACAAUUUCCCAAAACAAUAUAGAUUCUAGUGUACGUGCAUUGAGCAGAAUAUGGCCAACAAGCCAAGCAAGGCAACAAACAUGUACUCUGUAAAUAAUUAGCUAAAUCCAAGGCCUUCCUUGGCAACAAGGUAAAAACAAAACAAGAAAGACAAAGAACUCUUCUUUGGAACCUAGCUAAAUCAGAGAAUUGGCUAGAUAAGAUAGAUGUGCAGGGGUAGGAAGAGGGGGUGGAGCUCACCAGGUUCAGGGGGGUAGGAGGAGGGAGGAGCCAUGAGGGCUCGUGCCUCGUCCACCUGCAGCAAUUGCUACUCAUCCAGAUCGGAACCGACCUUGUCCACCAGAGGAGCAGGGACGCGUCCAUGCACCUGUGUGACCAAAAGCAGCAACAACGUGAGGGGAGGGGAGGGGAUUAGGGUUGGAGCAGGGGGGAGGGCGGCAUCCCUAGCAGGCCAUUGCAUGGGCGCGGAGCAGGCAUAGCACAAGCACUCGGAGGCCAAGGUCGGACGACAUCGCCAACGAAUCUACGAGCACCUUUGCCGCCGCCUGACCUGCUCACUCUCCCUCUUCUCUUCCCUUCCCUUUCCUUCCCUUCUGAUGACGAGAGGGCGAGGCGGCGGGCGGCAUGGUGCGAGGGAGACGAGGAGAGAGGUCCAUGGCGGCGCGGUCCGAGCGGCAGCGGCGGCGGCGAGAUCUGCGGGGCAUUGGUGGCGGCAAAGUGGGCGGGGCGGCGAGGUGUGGUGGAGGGAGAGGGCUGGGGCGAGCGGGGCUGGGAUGCGGGAGGAUGGGGUUGAGGGCGCGAGUGCGGGGGAGAGGCGGCUAGGUCAUCUUCACGGGAGCGGGCCCUUUUAUAUCCCGUGCGAGUGAAAUUAUGAAAAUGCCCCCAGCGGGGCAGGCUAUUUACGCGCGGUGGCACGAAACUGGAGUAACUAUUCAUUCCAGCAGUAACUUUUUUUAUCCUACGGACGAGGUCGUUACAGGGGUCGAUCCGACGACCCAGAUCCGAUCAAGCAACCAGAUCCGACAGCCAAGAAUCCCAAAUCGCUGUGGUGCGGGAUGAGGAGCUUCUAUUGUUAUUUCUGGAUGGACGCAAGCGGGCCGCCGACCAUGAAGGAGCGCGGGCGCUACCGGCCGCCGUAGAGUGGGAGCCAUGGGCACUGUCGGCCGCCACCGCGGGAUAGCCACGGGCGCCGCCAGCCGCCGCUGGGAUUGCGAUAGGUGGAAAAGUAGGCGGCGGCGUUGUAUGCUGCCUGAGUGAUGUUGUGCGUGAAGGAAUGCACCAGCCACUAGGGAUAAGCUGCGAGCGCCGCACGUGUUGGGCUAAGAAUUGGGCCGAUAAAGGCUCAGGAUAACUUUCUGUAUGUAUCACCUAGGAGGAGAAACUAAUUAACGAGCGCUCCUUCGGGAGCCUCGCAAUGAUCAUCGUCACUUGGCGCGCUCUCAGCCAUUCGCCACGUGUCACGUUUUGGGCGCUUCCUUUGGAUUUUUUUUAUUUUUUCGCGCGCGUUUUUGGCUUUUUAAAUAGUAUUUUAUUGACGUUUUGGUUUUCCAUUGGUUUUCCCUAGCUUUUCGAACAAAAAAAAUCAAAUUGUUUUUCUGUGCAAACAAACUUUUUUUCGCGAGAGUCACGGUUUUGUUUUCGGGAGAGGCACGGUUGUGCUUUCGCGAGAGGCACGUCCGUGCCUGUUGGAAACGGAAAAAAAUGUGUUUUCUGUUUUUUUUCCUUUCGCGAGAGGCACGGUUUUGCUUCUGCGAGAGGCACGGUUGUGCUUUCGCGAGAGUCACGGCCGUGCCUCUUGGAAAUUAAAAAAACGCAUUUUUUGUUUUUUUCUUUCGUGAGAGGCACGGUUUUGCUUACGCGAGAGCCACGGUUGUGAUUUCGUUAGAGGCACGGGCGUGCCUCUUUCGGAAAGGGAAAAAACCCGUGCUUCCGGUUUUUUUUUUCAUCCGGUUUUUUUCGUGAAAAAAAAGUUUGUCAAAACCUAUCAACAUGGGAUCUAGUUUUAAAGAUCUCAACAUGAGGAAUCCAAGGGCGAAAGCGGUUCGAGAUUUGGAUGCACGGUUUAAGAGAUAAAACGUUUUGAAUAAACGAAUCUAUGAAAAAAGGGAAAACUCCCAGGUUACGACAAGUGGCGCACAUGCAGAGCCACUUGUCACAACCUGAGGAAGUUGAAAUGAUCUCCGCAAGGAGUACUCUUUAAUCAGUGAUUUCGGGAAAAAGGUGUGUUUUUAUCGUGGAUGGGCUAUUGAGUCGGUUAGUUCGGGGAAUUCGGUCAGCUGAGUCCAACGACCGAACCCACCCAAGUAAUUUCGGUUUCUGGUAAUUGCUAACCGAACAAAUAACUGAAGUUUCAGUCCUCGGUUAUUCCGGCUUCGGUCCCGGUUUUUUCGGCUCCGGUUUUCGGUUCUCAGUUUUUUCGCCCACCUAGGCUAGCCGGAGCCACUUGCAGGUGAAAACAUCCAGAUGAUUGGUGGUUUACCUACAAGCGUUUCAAGGGUAAAAAUCUGCCACUGGAACGAAUGGAAGAUAUAGUGCCUGUUCUGGUUUAGGUAAGUGAAAACUCUAAAGUAGUGUGUGAUAGCAGAUUGUACAUGCCUGAGUGCUCAAGAAAUACCCCUGGCAAAAGCAAAUGUAUACUCCCUCCAUGCCAUAUUAGUUAUCGCUCAAACAUAUGUAUCUACUUCUAGAUACAUCCGUCUGAGCGACAAUUAAUAUGAGAUGGAGGGAGUAUUUCUGAACGGAAAAUUACUUGGUAGUAGUUCUCGUUAUGAGGCUUGAAUAAAUUCAAGGCCUUGCACGGAUGCCUUCUUCAUGAUGGUGAAGGAAAUCAUUCCAGAGAUUGCUUAACAUCAAAGUUUAGGAAACCAUUCAGAUUUAUGUCUCUGAACAGUUCUUUGUAAGCAUUUUGCCAUUACCUGCUCAAAUCCCCAGGUUGGGCUCGAGACCAACCAGCCCCUGGGUAUCCUCAGUGUCCAAUGGACAUGCAUCCUCAGUGUCCAAUUGGGGAUUUCCUUUUUAGAGCUUCAGGAGUUGCAUUUGGUAUCAGCUUUUUUUUUGUUGAUAUAUUCUUCUUAGGACAAUUCAAGCCAUUAGAUGUAAAACACUGAGAGACCACAUAACUGAAUAAUCUGUGCUAGGUAUAGCUGUAACUUUAGCUGCACCAGUAUUGCUAGGAUAUGACUCUCUAAGUCUUGCAUCUGAGUCCAGCGGAUAGACUUUGAUGGAAGAUUUGCUCGCACAAGUUGUAGUAUUAGGCGGCACAUUUUAUAUGGCUGAGUGUAAAAUGGAGUAGAUAGCACAAGCCUUGGGAUUUGUGUGACAUCUGCACAGCAAUCAAAGAGGAAUCAAGUGCAUGUAAUUACUAUUUACUCCCUUUUUAAACUAAUAUAAGAUCUUUUAGAUCACUAAAAUAGUGAUCUUAAAAAGAUCUUAUAGUAUUAUCAGUUUACACUUGAUAGGCCUAGCCUCUGCUUUAGCUUUGCAGUUGAUUUCACUCUGGUAGUGUGCGUUUUCCUCGAUAUCUCUUUUAUGCCUACUCAUGUGAAGGACCGCUGCCCUGGUUUCAGGCAACUUGUGCGUGGCUCGUAGGAGCUGUGGAGACAUGGUUGGACUUCAUUACAUGUUGUUGCGACAAUCAAGAGUUGGAAGAGUCCAGAUGGCGGCAGUUUGAUGCUUACCUGUCAGUCUUCUGAUGCGUAAACACAGAGCAGAACACCUUGAUGCUCCAACGGAAUGCAAGAGAAGAACAGACUUGUUGUGGAUGCUAAAUUCUGUGCUUGUUUGUUUUGCUGUCUGUCUCAUUCUGUCAUUCGCCUUG